CUUUUCAUUCUGAUGUAAGGCAUCAUAGCUAAUCUUUAGUUUUGCCAAGACAUCCUCAUGAGGUGUUUUCUUUAGCCUCUCUAGCCACUCUUCCCAUAGCUCUCUCUUUUUCCCAAAAAGUGAUGAACCAAUUGCUUGAAGAGCUAAAGGUAGUCCACAUGUAGUAUCGACGAUGCCCUUUGAAAAAGCGCAAUAAUCAGCUGGAGGAGAGUCUUCAUUGAAGGCAUGCCUACUAAAAAGUUUAAGUGCAUCUUUACUGAUCAACCCCAUCAUUUCAUAAUCCUUAAAUUCAUACUUAAGUUUCCUGUUAGUCAAAACGUUCUUGUCCCUGGUGGUAACAAGUAUUCUACUACCUCGAUGCAAAGAUUUCUCUCCGAUUAGUUGUAGGAUCUGGUUGGCCUCAUCAACAUCAUCCAAUACAAUUAGCACCUUCUUGUUGGAAAUUGUUGCUUCAAUCGUAUCAAUCCCUUCAUCAAUCUUAUUAAUUUUGUGAGCCACUCCAGAAUAAGAGAUAUCAGACAAUAAUUUUUUUUGUAGCUCGACUAUGUUCUUGUUUUUUGCCGUUUCCCUCACGUCAUCAAGAAAGCUGCAGUUUCUGCCAAAUCGAGGACAUAGUUCGUUGAAGAUAGUCUUGGCGAGUGUUGUUUUACCGAUGCCGCCCAUCCCGUAGAUUCCAAUGAACUGCACAUCAUCAGAAUCAAUGUCUAAUAAUUUCUUUAUGUUCGCUAUUUGAUCUUCCAUUCCAACGAAAUCUCCGGUUACGCGUCUCCGUUUUGUCUUGAGCUUGGCCACAACCUCGUCAACAAUAGCCUGGAUGAGUUUUAAAGGGCUGCCACAAAGUUGAACAGUUUCAAUUGAGCAAACGUGACAAAUUUGCAUAUUGACCAUCUACUAACCAACCGGGUGGGGACGCGAUCAAGUUCAAAAAUAUAGAAGAGAAAUGUUUGAUCUUUAUAUCAGGUAGAAGAAUCAGAAUUUCUGGCAAAAAAAGGUAGAAGAAUCAAAAUAUAAACAUCUAAUGAAUUGAUGUACUGGAAUAUUUACUUAAAUAAAAAAAUGGCAGCCCGAUUAUACAAAAUAAUUUUCACAAUCAUGGUUAGAUUAUUACCUUGAAUGUUUCUCCACCUCCCAUCCCUUGAUGCCACCAACUUCUAUGAGAGACUCCCGCCACGUCUUUAUAUUCUCGGAGCUGAACUUAUGCUCCUGAUCCUCCAUCUCUUGCUCCAAAUUCGAUAUGACAUCCUUGUAUAACGGUGUUUGCAGCUUCACAUCUUUGGGCUUCACAUCAUAGAAGAUGGGCAAUAUGACCUUCUCUUUCCCAUCUUCUUUAUGUUUAGAUGUGUUCUCCACCAUUUUCGCAAGCUCGUCAAGGCACCAGUGACUUGACGCGUAAUCUCUGGAGAAAAUGGGUAUGUAAAGCUUGCAACUGCCGAUCGCUUGCAAAAGGUUGCUAAUUUUUUCACCAUGUUGAAGCCCUUUGUCAUCGAUGAAACACGAAUCCCGGCAUCUACCAAGGCUUCGUGGAGGAUAUUGGUGAAUGAAAGACGAGUAUCAGGCCCUCUAAAACUCAGGAAAACCUGGUAUUCACCUCCUACCGUGUUGCUGGUGCUUGUCACUGUCUCUGAGUUUGCCAUAGGAGCUCACUUCGCACUUAACAACGUCAACCCUCUCACCUCGUCUCCGAGUUCGCAAUAUGACAUUUCACAUAUUUGAAUCCGAUCCCAUUUGCCAUCCAAAACGCGGAUAGGCAACUUCGUAGCAGGUGCUGUUUCUAGUUUACAGUCAAUCAAGUUGAUGACUUCAAAAAAUAAAAAUAAGGCGAAGGACAAUAAUGGAGAUUCACCUUUUUACACGCCCAAUGUCCUUCGAGUUUCUCCCUUGUCCUUUUCACUUUGUGCUUUUGAAAAAGAAAAAUACGGUGGAGGACAAUAAUGGAGGUGCACCUUUUUGCAUGCCCAAUGUCUUUCGAGUUUCUCCUUUUUGUUUUUUACUUUGUCUUGAUCUCUCCGCCUUGAAAACUUACCUUUAAUUAUAACCAACUUCCUUUAACAACUGAAUUAUUGUCGUAAAAUGUGCCUUUAUAUUAAAAAAUAAAUGAUCAUUUAUUUCCUACUAACAACCAUUAGAAUGUGAGCAUGGUGUAGUUAGUGCAGUUUGGAUGUCAAAUCAAGCCAAACUAUAUAAAUAUAUUUUGAGUUUGAGCACCUCGGAUGAAAUAGGAUCAGAUGAGAAUUAUAGGCGCUCGGCCACUGUUCAAAAUUGGUGAGAGGAAGUGCAGUGAUGGCUUGUCAAUGGCCAUGAUCCCAGUCCAUUGCGGUAUUGCUUUGAGCACGAAAGAAAGAAAGAGAAACCAUGAUGGUCCUGACCACAAGAGACGGCUUUUGCUCAGCUGAAGAAGGAGAAAACGAGAUCAAUGAUGGCCAUUGCCGAUAAUGGGCCGAAAGGGAAGAAGACGAAGAAAGUUGCAAGGACGGUGUCUUUUCAUGUUGGCCACUCAUUGUUUCCUUACUUCUUUAUUUGGUUCCGCUGAAUUUCCUCUUAAGUUCCAGGAGGAAGAGCUCUCGAAGUCAUAGAGAUUAGAGAGCUCUGAAGGCUGCACAAAGCAUAUCAAAAAGCGUGUCGAGAGUUCCUCUCGAUUACACCAAAUAUUUAUGUUCUAAAGAGGGUUAAAUCUUUCGUUAAGAUUUGCCACAUACUUUUAAGAGAUUGAGAAAUUUUUUCAAGAGAAAUUUUGAAGGCUAAACAUUUUAUGAAUUACUGAGUAUAACUAGGAUUUGAAAAUACCAAAGUAUUUAAAUGACUCACGUAUGAUUAUAAAUUUCGUCAUAUCUUUUAAUUUAUAAUUGAAUUUUGUACUACUCUAUCAUGAAUGUAAGUCAUAAACUGAAUCACGUAAAUUUAAUAUCUGAUUCAUUUCUUUGUUUUUUACAUUUUAUUCAUUUUUUUUUCCAAAAAUGAAUAUGGUUCGAAGGAAGUGAGACCCAACUAAAAGAUAUUCAAUAUGAUCAGUAUUAGGGGGUAUUGUUCUUUUAUUGCCAUUUUGUCCAUUGAAUCGCUCGAGGCCGUGUGUACCUUUCACUUUCCUUCCUUCAUUUUCCAUGAUUCUAUGGUCACAUAUAUUUUAUUUAUUUAGUUUUGGGCGCAACAUAUCAAUAAGUCUUUGCAUUAUUUGACAUAGAUUUUCAAGACGUUUGUUAGAGAUACAUUUUUUUAAUUAGCAUGUUUAACAUAAAUCAUUUUCAUAUUUCAUCUUUUAAUAAUUUUUCAUGAGAAAUUGAAAAUCAUUAGGAAUAUUAUCCUUCGAAAUUUGAAGUAACGAAGCUCAGAUAGAGCCAAGCCGCAAUUAUUUAUUUUUUGGCUUGUUUUAUUUAUAAAUGUCUUUCAUGGCGUUAUUGGUUGCUUUGACUUGUUGACUAAAUCGGUGCACUGUACGAAGUCUUCGAGAGGAUGGCUUGUCCACAUUUAUUUUAUCUCAUUCAUAACACUAGUAUCCAAAUCAUUGGACUCAAUUAACACCGAUUUAUAAACGCAAACCACUCCAUCCACAUACGUUAGAUUAGUUCCAUUCACAGGAUGGCUAGCAAGACACUCUAGCAAUGAGUAAGAGACACCAUGAUCAAAUUUGAACAAAAUAUUGUUUCAAGAAUAGCGUUCAAAAUACACGUAAUGCACUCAUGACGGUUUAUAGGAACUUAACUCUGCACAACAAUCCUUUCUAUCACAUGGCAAUCGGAUAUAAUAACUAUGGUCAUAUUCGAUGCACUACUUUGUUCAACUUAGUGACACCUUAUGAAAACGCUAUGGAAAUGUACAUCCUAUGCUUUCAAGCCAUUGCCUCAAACAAUUGAAAUACACGUGCAUGAUUACUUUUUAGUAAAUUGGAAGAUCACCAUAUUACAGAAUCCCCAAAAGAUGCCAAAAUGCCAUUCAUCAAAAUCACACUUUUACCUGUUUAUCAAUCACACAUGUUGCGCGCAACUUUAAUAAAUCCAAAAGGUUUUAGGCAUGUGAAAAUCGAUGUUAUCGAACAAUUAGCUUUUGGACUUAUUGCUUUGAGAGCUAAAGGUAGGCCAUCUGCUGUAGAAACAAUGCCUUAUGAAAGAAUGUAGUAAUUGAUCAAAGGAGAGUAGUCAUUGAAUGUGUUAGAGAUAGUUAGAUAUCUUCUAGAGAUAUUUAGGAAAUUCCCUUUGAUUUUCUAUAUCUACUUUGAUUAUGUAUUUGUGAUUUAAUUUCCUUGGAUAGUCAUCUAUUGAAGCCUAUAAAUAGGCUCUCCAUGUAUUCUUUUCUAUAUAUCCUAGCAUACACAAAUUCUCAUUUUCUCUCUUCCAAUUUUUAACAUUUAACUCGGUAUUAGAGCUGAUGCACCGAUGCUCCCUAAGCACUCUAAUGCACAUCGCACACCGCCACUCAACAAUCAACGGCAUCCCCAUUGUGUGCACAAGUCUAAUCUAGGGAAGCACUAAAUUGAAUCCAUUCCUUGAUGGCCAUGUUUGGACGUCAACCGUACUGGCCGCGUUGCCCAAUGGAGCCUUUAUCACAAAAGUGGCUUUUCUUUCGAUGGCAGCUGCAUAAGCCACAUCACUCGGUGGCAAUUUUCCAAGCUAGUCAUAUGCCGCAUCAUUUAAUUACUAUUUCGCAAGCUAGCCGCAUCGACCGCUUGCUAUGUCCCAGUCAAUUCUCGAACUUUCGCUCGUUGUUUCCACAAGUCAACACCACUAUCAAACCCGCCGUCCUCAAACUAGCUAGAUUUGAAAGUUAUUUCAAACUCAAGCCUUAUUCGCCGUGAGUUUGAUGGAGGAUGUUAAAGAUAGUUAAAUAUCUUCUAGAAACAUUUUGAUAUCUCCUCCGAUUCUCUAUAUCUAUUUUCAUUAUGCAUAUAUAAUUUGUUUUCCUUUAAUUUCUCUAGAUAGUCAUAUAUUAAGGUCUAUAAAUAGGCUCUCUAUGUACUAUUUUAUAUAUAUAUAUAUAUAUAUAUAUAUAUAUAUAUAUAUAUAUGUAAUACAUACAAAUUCCCAAUUUUCUCUAUUCCCUUUUUCAACAUUUAACUGAAAGCAUGCCUACACAAAGGUUUAAGUGCUUCUUCAUUGCUCAACCCACAAAUUCAUAAUUUUGAAUUUUUACUUAAGCCGCCUCGAAUUGGAAUGCUAUUGUCCCCAAUGGCAACAACUAGUGGCAACAAGUAUGCUGGUACCAAGAUACAAAGAAUUCACUCUGAUUAGUUUUUGGAUAUGGUUGUCCUCAUCGACAUCAUCUAAUACAAUUAGUAUCUAUUAAUGUUUAUCAAUGUCACCACUCUAGAAUAUCAAAUAGCAGAUAAUAAUUUUUCUUGCAACUGGACUAAUAAGCCCUUAGUUACCCGGGUUUCCCUCAUGUCAUCAAAGCCGUAGUUUUUCCCAAAGCGAGGACGUAGUUCUCUAUCCGAGUGGGACAGAAGAAAUGCAAUGGUGGCCUGUCCAUGACGGUGAUGCCAUCACAUCAUGGUGUUGCUUUGAGCGAGGAAAGAAAGAGAGACCGUGCUGGCCUUGACCAUUAGAGACGACUUUGCUCAGCUGAAGAAAGGUAAAAGAGAGAUUGACGGUGGCCACGGCUGAUAUGAGACAAAGGGCGAAGGAAAACGACGAAGAAAGUUGCAAUAAUGGGGUCUUUUAAUGAUGGCUCCUCAAUUGUUUCCUUUCUUCUUCUUUAUUUGCUUCUAGGGGAAAGCAAAACGACGAAGAAAGUUGCAAUGAUGGUGUCUUUUAAUGAUGGUGUCUUUUAAUGAUGGGCCCUCAUUGUUUCCUUUCUUUUUCUUUAUUUGCUUGUAGUGAAUUUUCUUCAUUUUUCUAUUUAAAUAUGAAGAGGAAAGAGCCCUUAAUGAGAGCUUUGAGAACUGCACAGAGGAGAUUGAAAAUUUCCUCUUAAAAGUUUUGAUUCAAAAAAGGUUUUUUUUCGUGAAAUUACACAAAAGGAAGCCAGUCAAAUCUUCAGGUCAUUCUUUUCUUUUAUGAGAUUAAGAGAUUAUUUCGAAAAAAAUUAUGAGAGUUAAACACAGAGUGAUUAAUCAUAUUUGAAGGAUGCCAAGAAUAAAACUUCUCAUAGAUUCUGCCGUUCAUACAACAGUUUGGGUUUUCAUAAGUCGAGUGCUUCAACUUAGAAAGAAUGUUUCGCCUCAAGUAUAUCGUUCUAGGAAAGACGAGGGAAUCCAAUCAGUCAUUGUUAACCUUUACAUGAGGAUAUUGUCUCAUUCUAGCUGUUUGACAUGGUACAUGAGAAAGGAAAUAAUUAAGUCAUAACUCUGGUUCUAAAAAAUACUUAUCAUCAGAAUUAAAAGUCUUUAUGCUAGAUAAGUUUUAUCAAUUUUUGAAAUCAAUUUGGGAGAUUUUCUCAACAAUCUCCAUUUUGUUUAUAAUGACAAAACUUUCCAAGCAGAACUUAAGAAAAGAUUUUAAAAAGAUUUAGUAAUCAAAUAGCUAUAUUGAAAGCAAUGUUUUAGAUAAGGCACAAUGCAAAUUCUAUAAGAACUUUGCUGAUUUUGUAAAGAUAAGUACAAACUUCUUACAAAAUAUUGAGCUAAUUAGAGUGAAUAAGAUUUGUAAAGAAAUUCCUUGAUUUGUGAAGAAAUUCCUUACUUUGAUUAGAAUAGAUUUCAGAAAACUUCCUUUUUUUAUAUAGCUCCUCAUAGCAAGAUCACAAAAGAUCUUCAUCUACAUAUGGUGUUUUGCUUUUCUUGCAUUUUCUCUUUCUUUUUGUCAACAUCACAAAAGAGACAAUAAUAUUGGAAGGAGUAUCACAUAGAGAAUAUGCUAUUCAGCUCAUCUUCACACACAAUCUUUCAAAACAUAUUUAGCAUGAAACGAAAUUUUCAUAAACAUCUUAUAGAUGCUAGUGUGAACAUAAAAUAAUUGCAAUAUAGCUCAUGUUAUUAUAGAAUCAAAUACCAUAUACAUCAAUAAAUAUAUAUCAAUGAUAACAUAUGCAAUAUAUAAAUUUCAUAUACAUUUUUUAUCAUAAUAAAACGAUAAUGGAAAUAUGAGAUUUAUAAUGACAAAAGGUAAGUGAAGUAAGAAAUAUACUAACCAGAUCAUGUAGAAUUUAGCAAGUUCUAAUAGACAUUAUAUUUUCUUCCAUAAUCAAUAGGAGGCAAAAAUUAAAUCGACUUAAUUAGGAUUUUCUCACACUUAAUUUACACUCCCUUUCAAUUUAAUGCAACUAUGAGAUGAUCGCGGUUCUUCUCCUUUACUGUGCAUCCACUUUCUCAUUCUUUAAUAAAUUUAACAAAUUUUGCACCUAGAGGAGAAUUUUCGCUCCUUCGAAAAUGGUUUGGAAUCUUCGCAAUUUUUCGGAUCAAAUUUUCAAAAUUUUAGAUGAAAAGAUUAUUUGCCACCUGCAAUUUCUUGUAAAAGAGAUAGCAAUAUUUGCAAAAUAUAGAGUAUAUCACGUACUUUCCAUCCUUGAAUUCGCGGAUUAAUUUUGCCAGUUAGAAGAUAUGCUUCUAACAUAUAAAACCACGCAUUAAUUUCUUUCAAGAUUAAAAAGAUUCUAAUGUUUAAAAGAAAAUCUGAUUUUCAAAUGUUUAAAUCAUUUAUAAUUAUUCUAUAGCCAUGGUUAAACAUAUUUAUAUAGAUACAAAUGGAAUUUAUCUAUAUAUAUGCAUAAUAAGAAAAUAGUCCUAUAGAAAAGUUUAAGUUUAAGUGCAUUUCAAGUGAAAAGUUCGUUGUUCGUCAAAUUUCGACUGUUUUUUUGGAUUGGACAUUUUAGCAAUAAUAACAUUACAUUCAUUAAUGGGAAGAGCUUUUAUUACAUUCUUAAUGUGAAAAGCUUCUCCACCAUAUCAUCCUCCCUUAGAAAUUUACAAAAGAAGAGCAAGCCCAUUACAUUAAGAAAAAGGAGAAAAGGCUGUUUAUUGUAAGAUAUGACCACAAAAUUCUUGAUUUGAACACCCGAAGUCCGAUGCCACUUUCGUUAAUGAGAGACGACGUUUGUAUCGCGUGACUCACGACUUAAUUGAAAGUGACAGACAGGCAACUUCCCAGAAGCUGCAGCUUUUAAUUAAUAGUGAAUGAAGGUAACUUCCCAGAAGUUGCAGCUUUUAAUUAAUAGUGAAUGAAGUUGAUGGCUUCAGAAAAAACCAGGUGAAGGACAAUUAUGGAGAUGUACCACUUUUUUUGGUCGGUCGAGAUGUACAAUUAUGGAGAUGUACCAUUUUACACGCCCACUAUCUUUUUCGCCUUUCUUCUCGGCGCCUUUGAACUUUUGAAUUAAAAAAAAAAAAAACUCGAAUUUUCAAACGUUUAAGUCAUUUAUAAUUAUUCUAUAGCUAUAUAUAUAGAUAAAAUCACAAUCUAUAUAAAUGUAUAAUACAAAAAAAUAUCUUAAAGGAUCUCUCUCGUUAUGACAUAUGAGACUUUNNNNNNNNNNNNNNNNNNNNNNNNNNNNNNNNNNNNNNNNNNNNNNNNNNNNNNNNNNNNNNNNNNNNNNNNNNNNNNNNNNNNNNNNNNNNNNNNNNNNNNNNNNNNNNNNNNNNNNNNNNNNNNNNNNNNNNNNNNNNNNNNNNNNNNNNNNNNNNNNNNNNNNNNNNNNNNNNNNNNNNNNNNNNNNNNNNNNNNNNNNNNNNNNNNNNNNNNNNNNNNNNNNNNNNNNNNNNNNNNNNNNNNNNNNNNNNNNNNNNNNNNNNNNNNNNNNNNNNNNNNNNNNNNNNNNNNNNNNNNNNNNNNNNNNNNNNNNNNNNNNNNNNNNNNNNNNNNNNNNNNNNNNNNNNNNNNNNNNNNNNNNNNNNNNNNNNNNNNNNNNNNNNNNNNNNNNNNNNNNNNNNNNNNNNNNNNNNNNNNNNNNNNNNNNNNNNNNNNNNNNNNNNNNNNNNNNNNNNNNNNNNNNNNNNNNNNNNNNNNNNNNNNNNNNNNNNNNNNNNNNNNNNNNNNNNNNNNNNNNNNNNNNNNNNNNNNNNNNNNNNNNNNNNNNNNNNNNNNNNNNNNNNNNNNNNNNNNNNNNNNNNNNNNNNNNNNNNNNNNNNNNNNNNNNNNNNNNNNNNNNNNNNNNNNNNNNNNNNNNNNNNNNNNNNNNNNNNNNNNNNNNNNNNNNNNNNNNNNNNNNNNNNNNNNNNNNNNNNNNNNNNNNNNNNNNNNNNNNNNNNNNNNNNNNNNNNNNNNNNNNNNNNNNNNNNNNNNNNNNNNNNNNNNNNNNNNNNNNNNNNNNNNNNNNNNNNNNNNNNNNNNNNNNNNNNNNUUAUGAAGGUUAAAUAUAGAGUUAUUAGUGUAUUUGAGGGAUAAAAAACACAAAUUAUAUUUGAGUAACUCAAGUAUUAUUAUAAUCUCCAUUGCAUGUAAUUUCAUGGUUUUCAUUUCGUCGUGGACGUAGGUCACGUAACCGAACCACAUAUAUUUAGUGUUUGAUUUAUUUCCUUAUUUUGCAUUUUUAUUCAAGCACUUGUUUUAUUUCCAACAAUAAAUAUGGUUUGAAGAAAAGUGAAACCAAAUUAAACCAUAUUAUAGUCAAGAUCAAACCAAGCCAAACCAUUUUAUGUGGCUUGAUUCGGCUUAAUGGUUCUUUCUGCUUUUAUUUUACCUCUUCAUCAUAUGUAACCAAUUUUAUUUUACCUCUAAUGCUAUGAAUUAGAGCCAAACUAAUCCACAUUAUGCGAAAAUCAACGGUAGAUGAAUAAAUCUAUACGAAUAACCAAUUUUUUUCUCUACCGCUUUUUUUAGGGUGCAGUUUAGCUAACCGUCCUCUGUCAAAUGAUGGAGUGACAGUCAACUAAUAACCACACAAUUCGCAUGGAUUCCAUCUUUUACCCUUUUUUUUUAAUUUUAUGUUUUCUUAUUGCAAGCUUAAAUUGAGAGAUAAAAUCAUAAGAGGGCCCAUGCAAUCAAUUUUCAUGAAUAUUAUGAAAGAAAAAAUAAAUUAGAUAUCGAAAUAUAAAUAAUUAGAAGUAAAAAACAUUGUCAUCCACUAAAAAGAAAUCUUUCAUUUGAAUAACAUAUAUCGAACAAUAAUUUUUCUUGUGACAUGACUAGACCCUUGGUUUUUAGCAUUUCCCUUGUGUCAACAAGAAAGUUGCAGUUUUUCCCAAAGCGAGGACAUAGCUAGUUGAAGAUAACCUUGGCGAGUGUUGUUUUGCCGAUGCUACCCAACCCACAGAUUCCAAUGAACCGCAUACCGUCAAAAGCGAUGUUUGAUAAAUUGUCUAUCGUUGCUAUUUGAUCCUCCAUUCCAACUAAAUCUUUGGUCACUUGCCAUUGUCUUGUCUUCACCUUGACCACAAUCUCAUUAACAACCGACAUGAUAAGAUUCCCAUAGCUGCCACAAUGACAAACAAUAUUAAUUGAGAAAAGGUGACAAAUUUCCAUGUUGACAAACAAUUUACAUAUAUCAGAUCUUGAAUCAGCCUCAAUUCAUUUUGAAUGCGCAGCACUUAUAUUUCUAUUAGAUUGCACAUUUCAAAAACGAUAAUGACAAUACAUUCGUUAAUGGGAAGAGCUUUUGUUACAUUCUUAAUGCGAAAAGCUUCUCCACGAUAAUCCUUCUUGAAAAAUUUACAAAAGAAGAACCAAUGCAUAACAUUAGAAAAGGAGAAAAGGAUGUUUAUUAUGAUAAAUAAAUAAUGAAAUUCUUGAUUUGAAAGCCCGAAGUCCGGUGCCACUUUCUUUAGUGAGAGACAUCAUUUUGGACAUUUGUACCGUGGGACUCACGUAAUUCAAUUGAUUGAAACUGACGCCCCCCACAACUUCACAACAGUUGCAGCUUUCAAUUUAUGGUCAAUAAAGUGGAAGGCUUCAGAGAAAAUGAGAUGAAGGACAAUUAUGGAGGUCUACCUUUUCACAAGCCCAAUUUCUUUGGAGUUUCUUCUUAGUGCAUUUGAACUUUUGAAUUUAUGACCAUUUUUUAAUUUAAAAAAUCUGAUUUUCAAACGUUUAAAUCAUUUAUAAUUAGUUUAUAGCUAUAUCUAUGGUUAAACAUAUUUAUAUAGAUAAAAACGGAAUUUAUCCAUAUAAAUGCAUAAUAAAAAAUAUUCCUAAAGAAAAGUUUAAGUUAAAUGCAUUUAUUUCAAGUGAGUGAUUCAUUGUUAGUCAAAUUUCCGCUGUUUUUUUUUGUGUGGACAUUUUAACAAUAAUAACAUUACAUUUCAUUAAUGAAAAAGAGCUUCUCCACCAUAUCAUCGUCCAGAAAUUUACAAAAGAAGAGCAAGCACAUUACAUUNNNNNNNNNNNNNNNNNNNNNNNNNNNNNNNNNNNNNNNNNNNNNNNNNNNNNNNNNNNNNNNNNNNNNNNNNNNNNNNNNNNNNNNNNNNNNNNNNNNNAAGUCCGAUGCCACUGCCGGUAGUGAUAGACAUCAUUUUGGAUUUUUGUAUUGCGUGACCCAUGAGAUUUAAUUGAAAGUUACGGACAGGCAACUUGACAGUAGCCGUAGCUUUCAUAAAAAAUCAGAUGGAGGACAAUUAUGGAGAUGUACCAGUAUUUUGGUCGGUUGAAUACAAUUAUGGAGAUGUACCAUUUCACACGCCCUUUCGCCUUUCUUCUUGGUGCCUUUGAACUUUUGAAUUAAAAAAAAAAAAUCUGAUUUUGGGCGUGGAAAGAAAGAGAGGCCGUGCUGGUCUUGACCAUAAGAGGACGACUUUGCUUGGCCGAAGAAAGGGAAAAAGACAGACUGAUAAUGGCCACAGCUGACAUCGGACAGUACAGAAGGGAAACGAAAACGACGAAGAAAGUUGCAGUAAUGGUGUCUUUUAACGAUGGCCAGUCAUUGUUUCCUUUCUUCUUCUUUAUUUUCUUCUAGUGAAUUUUCUCUUUAAAUUCGAAGAGGAAGGGCUCUUAAUGAGAGAGCUCCGAGGACUGCACUGAGGAGAUUGAAAAUUUCCUCUUAAGGGUUUGAUUCAAAAAAGUUUUCUUCGUGAAGUUAGUCAAAAUUAAAGCUGAUUAAAUCUUGUGUUAAUAUGCAAAUUGAGAUAUUAUUUCGAAAUAAAUUAUGAGGGUAAAAAAAAUAGAGUUAUUAGUUGUACUUAAGAGAUAAAAACACCAAGGGUAUCUGAAUGACUUGAAUAAAAUUAUAAUCUUCGUUGCAUUGUAAUUUUAUCUAUAAUGGAAUUGUGUGCUCCUUUCCUCGUGAACGUAGAUCACACAACUAAAUCACGUAAAUUUGAUAUCCGUUCUAUUUUCUUAUUUUGUAUAUUUUUAUUCACUCGCUUGUUUUAUUUUCAAUAAUAAAUACGGUUUGAAGAAAAGAGGAACCAAGCUAGACUGUAUUAUAGUUAAAGAUCAAACCAAGCCAGACCAUUUUUUUUUUGGGGGUUUGAUUUGGCUUAAUCGUUCUUUCUUCUUUAGUUUUCCUCUUCAUCUUUUGUAAUUUUAUGAGAAAAAAACCAAAUUCCAUGUCACGAAACUUCCAAAGCGAGAUCCCCGAGGAAGUUGCUGGAUCACCAAGCAAGCACAAAUGGCCCCUCUCGCGAGGUGAUGCUUGCUCUUGGCACGAUCAAUCUCAACUUGUUUCAAUUAAUUAUUUCACUUGAUUGAGAGUCACCACUAACUUUUUAUGAACCAAUUAGGAGUCAAGUAAAAUGCGGGAGUCCGUCUUACUUCUGCAAACAUGAGAUUUGUGAGUCUAGAAACUUGAUUAGGCAAGAUAUAUCUCAAGCCCAAUAUUGCAUACUUUCUCUUUCUAUUAAAACAAUUAUUCAUGUGCUCUUCCCAAUCUUAGUUACCCAUUUUAUUCUCAAUGUUGAGAAAGGCAGGCGAUCAUGCAUAAAUUCACUCAAGCAAACACGUAUAAAAUCCACUAAUACUGAGACAAAUAGAGCAAAUAAAAGGUAGGAAAAUAAAGGACCCAACCCGUAUCAGGAAAAAAAAAUCAAUAAAAGCCUUGUUAUAAGUUCCGGGACAUGCCCCUUGAGCUAUUAACAGAAACACUGUAAAAUCUCCAAAAUAAACUAUGGCUUUAAACAGAAAGUAAAUAACUGAUACUUCAUGAAUNNNNNNNNNNNNNNNNNNNNNNNNNNNNNNNNNNNNNNNNNNNNNNNNNNNNNNNNNNNNNNNNNNNNNNNNNNNNNNNNNNNNNNNNNNNNNNNNNNNNUAAGAAAACAAAAUAUAUUUAUGAUUAUGCAUGAUUCCUAAAUUAUUCCUCCUAGAUGUAUAUUUUUAAAAUAAAAUCUAUCUGUUUUUUUUGCUUUUUCACAUCAACCCCCUCCCUAUAUAUAUUGUAGUGAAAACGAAAUUAAACUAAAAAAUAACUAAGUGCUGAGAUAAAUUUGAACUAGAAACUAGAUACCAAAAUAAUAUGUUAUAUAAACCCAGAUUUUCGUGAAAAUUUGCACUAUGUUGCGUUGGAAUUUCAACCUAAACUUCUUGUGGGAACGAGUUAAUAAACACCAGAAAAUAAAGAGAACUAAAGCGAUAAUGCUAUGAAUUAAAGCAAAACCAUUCCACAAUAUGCGAAAUCAAGGGUGGAUGAGUACAUCUAUACUAAUUGCCAAAAUUAAAUAUUUAUUAAAAAUAAAAAUAUUUUUCUACGCUGUUACAGGUCUGAAGUGUUCAAAUUGAAUCGCAUCAUGUAGAUUAUUUAUAUUUCCAUGUUUAUGUUUGCUGAGACACGAGGAACAAUCAACAUGAACUAACACAAAAAUCCACGCAGGUUCUUGAUUUUAUUUCCUUUCUUCUUUCGUCUUUCUUUUCAGACCUGCAGCAUAAUUCCUUUUCACUUGUGCUGGUCGGAUAAGUCUGUCGCAUAUUUCCCUCUUGGUCGAGCCCAUGAAAGGGAGCCAGGGUCGUGCGGGCUUGGACUCGGAAGUUCAGAUGAAUUCAUGGCACAUUUUGCGUGUUGGGGCACAUUUUGCGUGUUGGGAUCCACUCAAAUUCAAUUCUCAAAGCGGACUAAUUUAAAUGAAAUUCGUAGUCAGGUUUCGCGUUUUCUUUGGUGCGAAUGCAUUAUUCCUAACAAAGUGUUGGUACUAUCUAAAUACCGUAAAUGAGGAUGCAAAAAGUGUGCAAUCUCAAAAAAUUUAGGUAUUAGCAUUUCGCGUUGACAACAAUUCAUAAAUUCACACAAAGUGAAAAUCAAACCUAUUUAAAUAGCUAUUUCAUGUAUAAAUGGUAAAAAUAAUUAGCAAUAUCAAUCAUUUAUACAAUGCGGUGUUGUGGUUUUGGUUUGGUUUCAAAAAAGUUGAAACCAAGCCAAACCACAAAAAACGAUUUGUUUCAUGGAUGGCAUGGAUAUUGUUAAGAGGGACCCUCGAGCUUGAAGGGAAGGUGUUUUGGGGGUGCAUGAUAACCAAAAUUUCUGUUCUAGAAAUAAUUUUUCUAUUCCAUACCUGUUUCUGGAAUAGAAACCUGAUUGAUAAACCCAUUCAGUUUUUCUAUUUCUGGAAUAGAUUUCUAUGAGAAAUCAGAAAUAAUUUCUCCCACUAAACCCUAAUUUCGGUGAGUCUUCCCUCAUCUCCUCUACGUCUCUGCCUCCUCCUCCUCCUCAGCUUCUCCUCAUUUUAUUAAAAAUAAAAAUAAAUAAAAAUAAAUAUAUUCAUUUUAUUCAUUUAAAAAUAAAAAUAAAUUUAUUAAAAUAAAAUUAUUAAAAAUAAAUAAAUUAUUUUUAUUUAUCAUUUUAUUUUUAGUUUAUUAAAAAUAAAUUUAUUAAAUUUAUUAAAAAUAAUUUAUUUAUGAUAAACAAAAAUAAAUUAUUUUUAUUAAAAAUAAAUUUAAAUAAUUUAUUUUUAUUUGCCUUGAGUGUUUUGCCAAAUAAAUUUAUUUUUAUUCUUAAUUCUUAUUCAUUUUAAAAUAAAUUUAUUCGUAAAAAAAUAAAAUAGAAUAAAUAAAAUAAAUUUAUUUAAGGAUAUUUUUAUUUUAAAAAUAAAAUGAUAUUUUUAUUUUAUUUUUUAUGAUUUAUUUUAUUUUAUUUUAUUCUUUAUUUUUUGUUACUAAAUCAAUUUUUAUUUUUAUUUUUUAUAUUAAAGGUCAUCGGUCGUCGCCGCCACCGUCCGAAAGGAAAAAAAUUUGUGUCGUUAUUGAACGAAUUUCUAUUUUUAGAAUAGAAAUUUUGUAUCGUUAUCAAACGGUUAUUUUUGCUUAAAAACUCUUCUAGAAAUAGAAAUAGAAAAAUCUAUUUCUGUUCCAGAAACUAUUUCUAGAGCAUAAUGGUUGUCAUGCGCGCCCUUGGUUGCCAGCAACAUCGUGGAGCUUGGAUUAAGGCAAAGCUGCCUCCAUCAAGAUGGAUAGGGUAAGCAACGCUAUCAACCCGUAGAUCCAAAUGCCAUGAGAAUCGAUCAAGGCAAACUGGUUCGAGACUAAGGCCCCCCAAUUGUGAACUGAAGCCUCAUGGAUAUCAUGAUUUUCUAGAAAACUUUCAAAAAAGAUUAGACUUUCAAGCAGAUUUUUACACAUUAUUGCAUACUUUCAAGCACAAACGGACAUGGCACAUGUAGUCAUGCCAGAGCAUAAAAUGACAAAGGAAUUUCCCUGACGACGUCUCCAAAAAUAUCAAAAGUCGCAUAAGUAAUGUUAGGAAUUAUUUGAGAAUUGAAUUUAGAGGACGAAAUUGGAAAAUGUGGUACUGAAAGAGCGUUGUGGGAAGUCUAACCCCUCCGCACACAUAAAUGAAUCCUUCGACAACAAGUUUCAUUGGCUUUCGCAAAUGAUCAAUAUUAAACGUGGACCUAGUUUCCAAUCAGCCUAAUUUUUUAAAUCGAUUGGCAGUUACUCCAUCUCAUACUUUAUAGAAAACUUUGGAGUUGGCCCAAAACUUCCAAAACUCCUUUUCCAACGACAUAUUUGCUCCUUGCCGAGUAAAACCUUUGAUCUCAAGACCGUUGGGCAAGGCGCGACAUGACCUAUAUGAAGACUCCAACGUAUUUGUUGGAGGGUUGGCCGAGAAAGUGAUUUUUGAAGGCUUUAUUGCAUCAAAGUGAUUGUUGAAAGUUGGCCGAGAAGAUCAAAACGCGAUCAAAGCUUUUUUUUUUUUUUUUUACGUAUAUAUAUAUAUAUAUAUAUAUAUAUAUAUAUAUAUAUAUAUAUAUAUAUAUAAAAAUAUAAAAAUAAAAAUAAAAAUGUAUGUAUGUUUUUCUACUCUUAUUUCUCUAAGAGAAUGUUUAUGUCAUUAUUGUAAAGAGUCACACACUCACUCACCCCCCCCCCCAGGUACUCGGCGAGGGAGCGUUCGUACACAUAUAAAAAAGGAAAUUCCGUUCAUAAUUAGAGGAUUCAGUCUUGUUCUUAGAUAGGAAAAUCAUUCAAAAAGUCAUAAACCUAUUGUGUGGCAGUCAAUUUAGUCUUAAACUUUUCAAUUUGACAAAUUUAGUCUUCAACUCUUUAACGAUUUUCUAAUGUAAAUCAUCUGGUCAAUUUUGGUCGGAAAUCGUUAAUACGACAGUCCAAUAAGCACUAGCCAUUCUAUGUGUAAUGGCCAGGCUAUUGACGAUUGAUGCAAACUAUUUUUAAUUUUUUUUUAAUAUUUUUCUUCUUUUUCUUUUCCUUCAUCCAAAUAGAAUUGAAGUAUGAGGCGCUUGCCUUGUGAAUCCACCUAUAAAUUGAUUUGUGGUCUCUUCUUUCUAUCGCUCGUUACAUUUCUGAUGAUGGAAGAUAUUUUCUAUACGUAGCAUAUUUUGUCUACAAAUAUUGUUUCAUCCUCUACACAUUGUUUUGCAAGAAAAAAUUGUCAAAAAUCCUACAAUAACCUAUUCAUUCUCUCUUGAUUGUUUAAUUAAGUCCAUUUCACACAUAAGCAUUUUAUUUGUAUAAAUAUUAAGUGAAAUGGCACCAAUUGUCCGUUUAUUCUUGCCGAAAAUUCAAGAACGUCCUUGUAUCUUCUUUUUUUUUGUCCAAAAUCAUCCCUAUACUCUUUAAAAGGGUCAUUGCUCGUCCUCCUAUUAUGUCACUACUUUUUUCAGUUGAUUUACACUAAUAUGGAUAAUCGGAACAUUGAGUAGAAGCCAUAUGGCAGCAAUGGCCGCUCAAGCAUUAAGCUCACAACCAUGGUCAUUUGAGCUCGAAGCUUGCCACCACCAUGGUUGCUUGAGCUCGAGCUCAAAGCUAGUGGCCAUGGUCAUUUGAGCUCGAACCUUGUGACGACUAUUGCCAAAUCUGGAUUCGAAGUUCACAGCAGUCAUAGCUACUUGAGCUUGAAGCUUGCGGCUGCUAUGAUCAAAUAUGGCAUCGAAGGUUGUGGCUGUCAUGGCCAAAUUUGGCCACCAUGGCCGCUCGAGCUCCAAACUCAUGGCCAUGUUCGUUUGAGAUCAAAGCUUGCAAUUUGCUGCUAGAUCUACUUCAAAGCUCAUAACCACCAUGAUCACCUGAGCUCGAGCUUGAGACUUGCGGCCAUCAUGGUUUUUCGAGCUAGUGGCCAAGGUGGAGCUUGAGUGGCCAUGAGUGUAAGAUCUUAAAGGUCGUAGAUCUUGAGCUUGCGAUCGCCAUGGCUGCUCAAGCAUUUGAGCUGUGGGCAUUAUAAGCAAUAAAGUAAUUCUUUUAUGUGGAAAUACAAAAUAUGAGAUCUUUGAUCUUUAUAAUUUUCACGAUAAGAAGGAUGGAGAGAUACCUUUAUUCAUAGUAAUACACUUGAAAGUAUUUAUCGCGGAAAAACCGAAGAGAAGAAGAAAUUUGAUUUCUCUCCAUUAACCCAUGCUUUUCUUUAACGUAUUCUAUUUGAUAGAGGAUAGAGUACAAUGUUAUUUUUUAUGUUGUAGGUGAAAAGAGGAUCAGACUCUUAUUUAUAUAUGCUAUCAUAGGUGCCUUCUAUCAAAGCGUCUUUUCACUUCUACGAGAGUCACACCUCUGUUGAAGAAUAGUAACUUCUCAAUGAGGAUUGUACCAUUUUAUUAGCGUCGUAAUUUCUCAUAACCAAUACAUUUUAGCAUUAAAUAUUUAUUAAACCAUUAAUCAAUAAUAUCAUGCGGGCCACAAUAAUUCUUACAUUCUCCUGCUUGACCCAUAUGACCUUCUUUUCAUGGUUUAAUAAAGAUCAUAAGGUGCACAAUAACAUUAUGCUAAAACCUUUCAUAAGUUGGCUAUCGUAUAUAAUCACAAUUAAGUAAAAAAAAAAAACUAAGGCGAGUCAUGGCAGUUGUAUGUCAUUGAUCGAGAUAGUUCCUUUGGUGUACAACAACAUAGCUCUUUACUUAAUAUAAUCAUAAAUGAUAAGUACCGUAAUGGUCCAACCAUAAUGUCUCUAUUAGAGACUAACCUAUUUAACAUUCGUCUAUUUUCAUAAAGUAUACUAAAUAGAAACAAGAAAUAUCAAAGAUGCAUGAUUGAGCUUAGAGUGUCAAAUACAUAAACUUAAUGCAAUCAUAAUACAAUAAUUAAUGAUGUCCAAUAAUGUCCAUCCUUUCAAUAUGCUCAUUAUAUGUUUUGGGUGACAAUCCUUUUGUUAAAGAUUCUAUGUCGCGACCUGAUCUCACCGCCCAUCCCUCAUGAGGAGAGGAAGGGGAAAUGUCAGAUUUAUGUGUACGUGAUCACAAAAGUUCCCCCACAGUUCUCAACCACAGGGAUGUCAUCACCUUACCAUCCAAAUGAACCUCAUGUGAGUUCAGUUAAUCGUAAUCGUGAGUUCUCCCAAACUUGUACCCCACAUGAUAGCAGACUGCCGCAACCCUACCUCAACACCACGGUAUGUCUUGACCAACGGUUUUAAGGUCAAAAGGAAUCCGGAUGUGAAUGUGAGUUUAGGGGUGCCUUUACCACGAUAACCCUCUUGAUAGGACAUUUUGCCCAUAAGGAUGACAUCACUUUAUUCUUUAAGGGUACAACCAAUAUUGAAUAUGUUAAAUCGCGGUGAGUCUUAUCAAGACCCAUACCCCAUGCGACAGGUUCAUUUAUAACAUCUAGUUAUUUAAGACAACCUAAAAAUAAGACGAAAGUUGCCACUAGCCUUAUUUUUAGGGGGUCGGCCAGAAAACCCAAUUGAGUGUUGGAAGUGUUUCCUCGUUUUCUAUGCAAUCAAAUAUCUAGGCUCGAGGACAUGGGUUACGCUAAUAAUACUAUCAGCGCCCUUUCAGUACCUAACAGUACGUUAUGUUUACCUAAGGUGUCCAUGCAUUUCUUCUUUAAUUUUUUUGGAUCGUUUAUCCUAACUAGGCGAUCAUGUGUGGUUGGUCAUUUACAUGCUAUUCCAUUUCUAGAAAAUGUGAAAAGAAAGCAAUCAACUAAAUUGAAAUUGUGAAACGUUAUAUAAACAACCAAUGAAAGAAGUAAAUCUAUCAUGCAAUCCUAAGGAAGAUAAAAAGAGAAACGGAAUUAAAGGACAAGAGAGAGAAGAACCUGCAACUUGUUGGGCUUUAAUACAGAUAAUAAAAAACCCUAGACAUAUGUUGGGAAUGGAUGGUAUAGAAUAAUGGUUAGAAUGGACAUCGACCUCCACCGUUGUCGUGUCCUUUCCAUCUUCAAUAUCCUAAUUUAGAAAAUUAGAAGUAGGUACCUACAAUAGAAAGAAACAAGCAUACACGUCAAAACAACCAAAAGCAAAAUAUUAUGCCAAAGUUAAUCAAUCAAAUGAAGUUCAAUUCACAAGUCAUAUUUGGGCCUCGGGAUCGGUUUUUAUAGUUCAUGCAUAGAUCCCUCUAAGACACCCAUCCAACUCAUUUUAUGACUUACAAUCAUUAUUGACCAAUUGUGUUCUUGCAUGGAUAAUAACACUUAUAAACCUCCUAACAAGUGAUCUAUAUGAAUCUAGGGUUUUCCCUCGAUAUCAUGCAUCGGCCCUAACAUACAUCAAGAAACUAGACGCAUUGCACGAAUUAAACACACAUCAGGUCUUUUGACCUUAUUUCUCAACCAAUCAAACAAGAAAGUGAAUCGAUGGCGGGUCACUUAGGCAUGCGUUAAUCACGAACGCGGACAUUUCUAAUUAAUGACGUGAUUAUAUACACAAUGGUACAUGUGAUGUUUUAAAGANNNNNNNNNNNNNNNNNNNNNNNNNNNNNNNNNNNNNNNNNNNNNNNNNNNNNNNNNNNNNNNNNNNNNNNNNNNNNNNNNNNNNNNNNNNNNNNNNNNNNNNNNNNNNNNNNNNNNNNNNNNNNNNNNGGUUCGGCAUUAAAAUGUAUAUUAUAAAGCUUCACCAGACAUUUUUAAAUAUAGUUCAAAACCAUGACUUUUAUUAAUGUAAAAAUCGGGAUUCAAAGAGAUUUGAGGGAUUACCUUUGAACGAUCUUUGUGAUUUUACAUGAUCGGACGAAGCCUUGAACCCCUGGAACUUUGAUUGGGCCUCGGGGAUCAAGUUCGGACCGCCACAGAACACUAAGGAGAUCGGAUCAAAGCUAGUUGGACCACUUACAACAACAAACGUGGGAACCGAUUCCAAAAUAGGAGUGGUCUUCGAACACCGGUAAAGAUCGGACCACCGGAGGUGAUCCGACAGCCAAUUCGCCUGCCCUUGACAACGGUGAGGUCAAGGACCUCUUGGACUAACGAUCGCCGACAAUCGAGGAUGCCUGGGAGUGCUGGGAACCUCCGAUUCAAGCUGGAACAGAACUGGUCCUGCUUGGACUGGUUUUAGAGUCUCCGGAGAAACCAAAUCAUCGGAAGUGUUCCGAUGGCUGGUUUGCUGGUUCUUGACCUUGCUAUGGUCGGGAAUAGGUCUAGGGAGAGAUAGACAGGGUUUGCUCUGCCGAUCUUGGCCACCAGACCGAUGAUCAAGCCAAUGAACUAAAAAUCGACUUGGUCGCCGAUUUACUUUAACCAAAGGAUGAUCAACCAAUCCCGAUUAAUCCAACAACCAUUGGAGAUGGAGGGGCUUGCUAGAGGAUUGAGGUGAGUGAGGGAAACCACCGGGGGCUGGGUGUCGUCCAAUGAGACACCGACUUAAGGCCGUCAAGCUUGAAUUGGGGAAUCACCCAUUCGAUUUAGAGAGAGAGAAGAGAGAGAGGUAGUUGGCGCCAAGAUCCAGAGAGAAGAAAGAGAGAAAGGGAUCCGAGGAGAGAGAGUCAAUUUCAUGCAUAAUGAGCCCCCCCUAAAAAUGGACGGAAAAUGGGUAUAUAUACCCUCUCUAAAUAAAGUAAUCUUGACUGUCGAUUUGAUCCAACGGUCGAAAUUGUAAUCCAAUGGUCAAAAUUCGAUUUUGAAGGUUUCAUUACGAUCUUGAGGUGUCGAGUUAUUGAUUUAAUGGGUUUGAUUUGCGAAAACCCGAGCCAAAAUCGAGAAUUAUGUAAAAAUGUCUAAUUAGAUAUCAAAUUGCAAUUUGAUGAGAUUCAAAGGCCAAUCUACAAAACUUUCAAAAAAUUGAAGUGCAGAUGUGAAAUUGACAUUGAGAGCAACCUGGAACCAAUUACCAGAGGUCUAGAACGAGCUAGCAAGCGGCCAAACCGGCUUGCAUUGCCGGCGGUUGGUUAGUCCGGUCAGACCGGUUCACUUGAGUUUGGCUAGUUUUUGAUCGGUUUUUGAUAGGUUUGGUCCGGUUUUGGAUAUUUCGCUUGCUUGGGACCUCUGUGGACCCAAAAUUUAUGCAAUUUGGUUCCUAAAUGAUCAAAUUGAAAAGAAAAUUUACUCUAUUUGAAAGGAAGUUGCAAAAUUGCGAUCCAAUUAAGCUAAUCAAAUCUCAUGAAUACGAUUUAAGGAUCUUUUAUUGACUUAAUUUGAUGGUUAUUAUGAAAGACAACAAGUCAAAAUCAUGGAUACUUUGAAUUGAGCAUAAAGGGCUAAAACGAUCAAAUUUGCAAUUCAAUGAAUAAAAUUAAAAACCGAUUGAAAUUGAAUUCAAUUAGCGCCACAAAUGAAUCUAGGUUUAAUUCAAAAUUGGACCUAGAUUUAUGGAAUUAAAUCAUAACCUUGAAUGAANNNNNNNNNNNNNNNNNNNNNNNNNNNNNNNNNNNNNNNNNNNNNNNNNNNNNNNNNNNNNNNNNNNNNNNNNNNNNNNNNNNNNNNNNNNNNNNNNNNNACAUGCGUUGAUGAUUAACUAAUUCACUAAUCCAUUUUAACUAACAACCUAGUCCUAGCUUAGUCUAAAAUAAUCCACCCUUAACCGUCAUUAACUUACUACGCCGGGAUUAGUGAGUUAAACUCACUUGAUUAACGAUCCCCUUGAACCUCCACCGCGGCUACCGGGAGACGGGCCAAAAACUCUAAUAUGAGGGCACCAACCAGGGCUAGGACGGGCCCAAAAUUGGCCACACAAGGCCCACAGUUGCUGGACUGAUUUUGAGAGGCUGCUGGCCUCGGCUCAACGGGCUGGUUUAUGCUUGUUUCCAAGCUGGAUCGGGGGCUGACCUAACCUGCUCGGAGAAGCGUCACUAGCUUCGGUAGCUGAUGUUGGGGCUGCUCGGUUUGACUUCGUGAGAAGGAUGAUGAAGCUGAAACUUGCGUGGGCUGCAGCAGGGCUGUCUCGGUGAAAUACAUGCGGAUGUGCUGAUAGCGGGCUGGCGUGAACUCGGUGGACUAUCUAGCGCACAAAGAACCUGUUGGAGUUGACCGAAGUCGCUGGGGAGGCGUCACGGAUGAAGGGAAUCGUGGAGAUGCAACUGGAUGAAAUAGAGAGAGCAAGCUGGUGGCUUUGCAUGGCGACAGAAGCUAAGUGGCACUGAAGAACUUGAAGCACACUGACAUCAUACUUGAACCCCACGGACGACGACCUUCUAACUGGUGGAUGGCGGAACCUGGGAAAGGAGAGACGACAGCAAACGGCAGACUUAAGCUUGCGAGGAGCGAAUGAGGAUUGGGCGUGGUGUCACCGAGGAUUGAGCAACAGCGAUUUGCUUGAGAACAUCACUCUCUAAGGAUAAAUGCCCUCGAGGAAUGCCACGAGGGUUCCAUGAUCACUCCACAAAUGAAGUGCCCUGUCCAUUGCCAAUUACACGUGUUGAGUAUGUCGCUUAAGAAUGGACCUAACUUUUAGCAGCUUCCUCCAUGCUCAGAUGAGUUACUUUUAGGAGUAACAGGAACAUAUAGAAAUCUGUUUCAGCAAGCAUAACCCAGUAACCCAAAUGGACCCUGCUUUUAGCAACUUCUCUAUAUUCCUGAGAAUGCAAGCUUCAUUCCAUGUUUCCAGCUUCUUCUAGCCUAAACCACCCUCACAUUUUGGAGCGCAAACAUUAUCCUGAGAAACCUUAGGACCCUCUGCUUUCUCAACAUUUCCUUUCCACUAAGUGACAUGAUGAGGCUCUUCAACAAGCUCGACUAUGUUCUUUGGUAAAACAAAUAUUCAAUUUGAAAAGUUGACCAGGCUAUAGAUUUCAGCCUUGAUUAACUAAGUCUUCCUGCAUAGGGAGGAUGUCUCUCAGUCUGAUCCAAAGUUUUCUUCUUCUGAACUACUCGGUUAGUUCCAUAGCCUGCCAAAAACAGCUCAGUUUUCAGGGAACCGAACUCCAAAAGUAAAAGCUCUUCGAAUUCUGGAAACAAGGACAAGAUUUCUUGCCAGGACUUCUCAUCCCAUUAUAGAAAAUCAUCAGCAAAACUUCUCACUUUCUCCAGAAAAUAACUAAGGUCAUGUUAUACCUAAGUUUGUGUUAGUGUUAAAACUCACUACCUGUGCGCUUGAACGCACAAGUGAUUUCCCUUUUCAAAAAGGUGAAAAUACGACAUUGAAAUGGAGAGACCAGUUCCCCUAUGUCUUGUUUAAUUUGUUGGAAAUCCAUAAAUGGUGGAAGCUAGAUCAAUGUAAGUCACGUGCCACUAGAAUAUGUGUGUUUACAGCAUUGUCUAUUUCAUUAUCUAAUCAUUUGUUUUGAUAGGGUGUUGUUCAAAAGAUUGAAAAAGGCAGAAAUGACACUAAUGUACAACAUCAUAUUUGGAACUCUGAUUCUUUCAAUAUGAUCAUUGAACUUUUCCUAAAUAUUUAAUGUAGUCCCUAAAUUUUUAAUUUGUUCAAUAUAAUCUCUCAACUUUCCAACAAACUCAAAUCAGCCCUUUAGUACUAUUCAUAAGUUUUCAUGAUUACAUUGUUAUCCGAAUUUUGGAAUCUCAUUUCAUUUCAAUCAUUUUCCUAAAUCAACAAAAAAACAUGUUAUCUUUUUAUUACAUUUUUUUGGUCUUCACAACUAUUACGAUAGUUCACUUUAAGGAAAAGUAGAACUUCAUUUAGAGUUAAAUCAGAUUGAUAAUUCUGUUAUGUUAUGUUUAAGUAGUUUCAUUAGGACAUCUAGAAACAACAUUAGUUAAUUUAUAGAUAUUCGUAGUUAUAUUGAUCCUGAUUGUUCAGAAAGUACAAAACACAAAACGUCAAAAAUUUAUCGACCUCAAAAAGUUAGGAAUGGGAUUUAGAUUACAGAAAAUUUUAUCAACCUUAAAAACUAAGGAACGAGAUCUAGAUUGACGAAAGAAUGAAUGCGGAUAAAUAAAUUAACAUCGUGUACACGCCCUUAUUAAAGCACUUAAAACUCUUUUUAUUUUGGAGACCAUAAGCUGAAAUUAACUUAUUUCGUAAGAGUCGGAAUCUUCGGUGAGCGUUUUAGGGUUCUGAAUCGAACCCAAAUCUUCCUUUUCACUCAGACUCAUCUUUGAUGGAUCGACUGGUAAGGUCUUCCCCCAACUUCUGCAUAAUUUUCACUCUUGAUCAUCUCGCCCCUGCUUCUGUUCUUCAAUUUGAUUUUUUUUUUCCUGUUUUUAUGUUAUUUUGCGAGAAUUUUCGUUGAGAUUGCGACUGUUUAUGCUGAUUAGAUGAUGGUCUUUAACCUGAAGUUGUGGGGUUAAAUUGUUCUCGCCCACUUCUCACCCAAUCCUUGGCCACUCCAUGCCCACUCCUUGCGAGCUUCAGUCUGUCGUCUCCUUCUUUCCCGGGUUCCAUCUCACGUUCAACCGAGCUUCGAUCAUGCACUUGCCAUUUUCUUUUAUGGAGCGGCAUUGGAGGGUGGGUAUAGUAAAAGCUUCGAGUAUUAUGUUAAUGUGUGUUUACUGUCACAUGUAAGUUUCAGUAGCUCCGAGAAUGUCAUCAAAACCGAGUCGCUACUGUUUUAAGACAUUCCUCAAGACUCAUCUUACACGUGAGAAAGUAGGAAGGAAUUGCUGAUUCCGGAGGAGAAUUAGGCAUUAAAAUAAAUAAAUAAAAGAAGCACUAAAGAAGUAAAUUGAGAUGCACAACUGCCUGACCAAGCACCUUGCUACAAAGUGGCUCACUUUUCUCUCAUCUUUCAGUUCAAACCAGAAGAUAGAUGCAAAACAGAGAACACGAACAUGGGAGCGGUAACAUGGGAGUAAUCAAGAAGCAACGAGAUCUGGUGUUUAUGCUCUCAACAGAUAACAAAGCUGCGUGUACUUUGUAGCAGUAAUUUGACCUGUGGAAUCAUCAAAACUCUUGGCUGACCCAUGAAACAGAUAUUGUCCCCUCAACUUGAUCUAUUAUGCCCUCGAUAAGAUGAACCUGAGUUAAGAUUUCAAUGGUAAGACUACCAUAAAAUAAGGUAAAUGCUUGAAUAUUGGUUUUCCAUUAUGUAUGCUAGAGCAGCGAAGGUGCAAGCAAUUAUAACACCGAAGUAUUUGCCAUGAUGGCUUAUGCAAAAGAGGAAACUGUAGUCUAGAUUUUUAGCAACAGCAUACUGACGCCAUAUCCGAAGCUCUUCUAUUCUUACACCAGAAAUAGUGGCAGAGGACAAUGUACGAGCAUGAAACAUAGCAUCAACAUUAAAGGAAUAAAAAAAAAUGCUGAUUCACAUCAGCCCCCACUUGUCGUAUGAAGAUAUUUAUGGUUGAUUAAUACUAGCUAAGUCUCUUAAUAGUGUGCAUGUUCACAGCAGUCACUUGAGGCACAUUCUGUGCAACCAAUCCCUUCAACCAUAUGCAGCAGACCUCAAAUUACCAAUGGAAAAUACAACUGCUCAAGAAGAGAACCAAGAAGAGAAGCACUGUUUGCUUCAUUUUCGAUCAUUAAAGCCCCUCACAGGUAAUAAAGAGACAGUGGAUAUUCAGUAAGAUGAUCAUUAUUCAAACCUUAGAAUAUACUUAACAAACUCUUCAUGAUAAGAUGCUCAACAUCAUAUGUGCAGAAAGUUCUGUGCGCUCUACCAUAACAAUCAUAGGAAUGGCUCGAUCCUCAGAUGGUUGACUGCAAAAAUCUGCGUUGCCGUUUUCCAACAAAGCUGUAAAUUCAGUUUCCCAAAUUUUGUAACUCUCUAAUCUUUAGUCAGCUCACCAAACACCCAUAAUUCUUGUAAUACCCCAACUAACAAAUGCGCAACAUGUGGGCACAUGAUUCCAGUCAAUCCAGCAGUCCACAGAAGCAUACCAACAUAAAUAAACUAUGAAGCUAUUGCCCUAUGAAGCUAGAGCUCGAACUCAUGCUUAACUACGCAAAGAUAAAUCACACGAUCACAUUCAACUAAACACCAUCUGCCACACCGCCUGUACCUGUUCUUCAGCGAUUAGCUGGUAAUCCGGAGCUUGAGUUGAGGUCCAUGCCUCCCGCCACCGAUGGAGUUAAUGAACGCAACCAUCGGAGCCUCAUAAAACUUCAUGCUCCAGCCGAGCGGCGCUGAAGAAGAAAGACUUGAAGCUCGCGGACAUGGAACUUAAAGCUUGCGACGGAACCUGGGAAAAAUGAGAGAGCGGACGACGGACUGAAGCUCGCGGGGAGCAAGCGAACAGCGGCGAGGACUGGGUGAUAGCAAUUUGCUUGAGCAGCGGGAAGAGAGGAGGAAGAAGAAAACGUAAAAGAGAACCCCUCUUAAUCGCUGGUGCGCAAUUUAGAAUUUGUCUGUUGUCUCUGUUUACUAGAAGAAAGCAGAAAUGGAAAGCAAAUAAAGCAGAACAGCGAUGAUCUAAGAAUAGAAAGAAGGCGCACCAAGGAUCACUUUAUGUUUCAGAUUCGCUGGUUUCAUAGAAUGCUAAUUCAGUUGACGCGUCCCGCAAUUUCCUCUUCAUCAUUCCGAAUCUUCUCUCUAAAAGACUCCCAAUUGCCGUGAUAAGUAUCACAUUUGCCGCUGAGAUUGCAAUUAGAUGUCAUGUCCGUCUGGCACUCAUUCGGAACUUUUGAGCUCGAUGCAUCAAAAAUCCCUCUAAAGUAUAUAUUCCCAUGAACUCUCAACAGCCGCAAAAACUCUAAUUCGUGAAUGCCCUCCAUGCUCAGCAACCUCCAGCAGGAUUCAAUAUGUAACCUCUUUAAUUUCUUCAAGUUUGACAAACCUUUUAUCCUUCGUAAUGAACAGCAAAAUUCGACGGUAAAUGCUUCCAAUGAUUCCAACGGAGAAACAAAAUCGAUAACUUCUACCUUCCGGCACCUCCCCAUGUGGAAUUCUCGAAGCAUCUUCAGAGAGCUUAGGACAAGGAAAUUUCCCCUCCAGGGUUCAAUCAACUCGGGAGCUUGUAGCUCGUUGUACCCUGGCUCCUCUGGCACAAAACGCCUGCUCUUGACACAUAAGAUGUCAUGAAGACUUGGUUCGUCCAACGAGUCAAAGACAUCGAGAGAUUGACCAUCGAGUUGCCCGUACACCUCGUUUUCUCUUGAUUUUUCCAACGGAGUAAGCCCACUGAGAUGUACGUGUUUCACUCGAGUGUGGUCAAUCUUUAAAAUUAUCAAGUUUGGGGGAAAUUGCUUGAGGGUUCGGAAGUCUAGUCCAGAUAGAGUAAGUUCUUUCAGCAGAGAAAGGGAACCCAACUUUGUAGUUGGUGCGUGGACAUUUAAUAAGCAAAAGUGCAGCUUGCUUAGUUUGGAUAACCUCCCAAUCCACCUCAAUUCACCAGUUGGAAUUACACUUGAUUUGCACAGCCUAUCGUCAAAGUCAUCGGAUAGGAACAAUUCAACUAGAUUAGUAAGGUUUGAGAGAUUAGGGACAGUUAGCAACGAAGUAGAUAUUAGCCGUAGAGUGGUCAAACUUCUAGGGAGCUCCAGCCACUCUUUUAUACUAUGACCAUGUUCCAAGUUCAGUAUUUGGAGGUGAAGCAAUUUGCUCAUUGUACUAGGCAUUUCUACAAUCGGUGCGUUUAAUACAUUGGCAAAUGACAGGUUUCCUAGUCUACCAAUGGAAUCUAGUAAUCUUGUAAUUCUCGUGCGUGAUAUAUCUAGCUUUGUCAACAACUCUAAUUUCGAAAUUGAGUCAGGGAGCUCGCUCAAGCUAUCACAUUUACUAAGAGAGAGGUGCUGAAGAUUCUUUAGCUCUCCAAUUUGUUCAGGCAAUUUUUCAAGUUUCAAACGUAACUCAAUACUCAAGUUAGUCAACCACCUCAGUUUCCCAAUAGAGCGGUCAAUUUUCUUCAAAGAUGGACAAUGAUAAAUCGUCAACUUCUCUAAAACUAAGUAUUUGCGAAAGGUUGGUGUCCCAUGAAUGAAGUUAUUAUAUUCAAGAGUGGGAAUCUUCAAUUUCGUUGCCCCCUACAAAAGCCAAUGAAACAUCAAGACAAACAAUUAGAAGUCUCCCAAGUUGGACCUUAUGUCAUCCAAUCCUCUCACUAACUAAGAAAAUUAGGCAAUAAAUCUAUCAAAUUCUGUCCUUCAUUGAAUGAGAAAAUUAGACCAAGAGGGAAAGUCACGUACCUUGAUUACGUAACUGAUCUCAUCUUCAUUGAGUCUAGAGAAACAAAUAUUAAUCAGGACCACGCUUUCUAGACCGAAAUUGGUUAGCGAAUCACGUUUUCCAUAAUAACUUUUAGUGCCCCAAAAAAUUAUCCAUUUCAACUUGGCAAGAUAGCCCGUGAAGUCACCUUGGCAGACUACAUUACUCAACCAAAGAAACUUGAGAUGUGGGAACCGUCUAAGUUGCUCCGCCGUGAUAGUUGUAGGGUUGCUGGAGGUCGAUCGCAAACAGAGUGCUUGAACGCUUUCCUUGAUCUGCCAAUGACAUUGAGGAGCAGCGACAGGAAUUUGUCAAUACUCCCACAAUUUAAUUUGUCGAAGGGAAGAAAAAAGAAAUCAAACGGUAAAGUAGCUCCCAAUACAGAAACGCGAUUAAAUCCUCAAUUAAGAACAGGGUAAGCAAUUUUCUAUUCAAAUUUGGUCAUACUUUACCUCUAUUGAUCGUAAUUUGCAAAUAAUGUCAUCUUUAUCCCACAACCUAGUAUGCUCUUGUAUAGCAAUUGCCCUUCCGAGAUCUCUAAACUGAUCAUGCAUCCAAAUUUCAUCAUCUUCUAAAAACUUUAUCAUGCACCUAUUAAUAAGGACUUGAAUAGCAUACUCCACCUUAAACCCACAAUAUUUCCACUGGUAGAUUAGAUUAGUCUUCUUCCAACUGAUGAAAAAGCAUGCAACAUCAAGAAAUAUGUGUUGUUGAUCCGGUUCUAAGGCAUCAUAGCUAAUCCUUAACUUUCCCAACACAUCCCUAUGAGGUGUUUCCCUUAGCUUCUCUAGCGUCUCUUCCCAUAUUGUUUCCUCUUUCUGACCAAAAAGCAAUGAACCUAUAGCUUCAAGAGCUAAAGGUAGUCCACCUGUAGUUGAGACAAUGCCUUUGGAAAGAGUGUAAUAAUUGGUAGGAGGCGAACCAUCAUCAAAGGAAUGCCUACUAAAAAGCCGGAGUGCAUCUUUUUUGCUCAACUCCUCCAUUUCGUAAUGCAGGAUUUUAUAUUUAAAACCCCUUAUUUUUAGAAUGCUUUUAUCCCUAGAGAUAACAAGUAUCCUAGUACCAGAACACAAAGAAUUCACUUCAAUUAGUUUUAGGAUUUGGUUGCCCUCAUCGACAUCAUCCAAUACAAUUAGCAUUUUCUUGUUGCAAAUUGUUUGUCCAAUCAUAGUGAUCCCCUGAUCCAUGUUAUCAAUGUGAGGAGCCACUCCAAAAUUGGAGAUAUCGGACAAUGAUUUUCUUUGCAACUCAACCAAUGAGCCCUUGGUUUUUGCCAUUUCCCUUAUAUCAUCAAGAAAGCUACAAUUUUUCCCAAAGCGAGGACAUAACUGGUUGAAGAUAAUCUUGGCAAGUGUUGUUUUACCAAUGCCACCCAUCCCGUAAAUUCCAAUGAGCCGCACACCAAUGGAGUCGAUGUCUAAUAAAUUAUUUACGGUUGCCGUUCGAUCUUCCAUUCCAACUAAAUCUACAGUCACCUGUCUUUGUCUUGUCUUGAGCCUGACUAUAAUCUCGUUGACAACCGACUUGAUAAGAUCCCCGUGGCUGCCACAAAUUUGAACAAUUUCAAUUGAGAAAAGGCAACAAAUUUGCAUGUUGACCAACCAUCGACUAAGCAACUGAGCGGGAAUGCGACCAAGUUUAGGAUAUAUAAAAAUUCAAUGUUACCCCCAAAGCUUGGGGAACAUGAUGAAUGACAAAAUUGAAAAUCCAUUACAAAUUAAAGUUAAAAGGAAUAGAGGAAGAGAUAUGUUUGAUCAUUAUUUCAAGUAGAAGAAUCAAAAUUUCUGGCCAGAAAAAGGUAGAAGAAUCAAAAUAUAAACAUCUGAUGACUAGUGUUAUAGUAGAUUUACUCAAUUCUUUCAAUGUGAAAAGGAACUUUGCAAAGGCAACCGUUCCUUAAUCAAGUUCUCCAGCGUACAACAGGAAUCUUAAGACAUUCACGGAUGAAAUUAGUAUAAAAAAGAUGAAGCAAAGCUAAACUUUUAUACGAUGGAAAUUAGGUGAAAGCAAAAUUAUAAUAAAUCUAUUAGAUCAGAAAAAAUUGGAAAUCUCAUGAUUUAGAAAAAAUAAAAAAGAAUUUGAAACUUUCUGUUUAAAUUUAGGGUAAUUAGAGUUGAAAAGUAAUUAACGAAUUUUCAUAAGAACUAUGGCCUGAUUGUACAAAAUAAGUUUCUCGAUCAUGGUUAGAUUGUUACCCUGAAUAUUUCUCCAGCUCCCAUCCCUUGGUGCCAUCAACUUCUUUGAGAGCCUGCUGCCACAUCUCUACAUCCUCAGAGCUAAACUUCUUCUUCUGAUCCUCCACUUUUUUCUCCAAAUUCAUUAUGGCCUUACUAUACAACGUGGUUUUCAGCAUCACGUCAUCGGGUUUCGCAUCAUAGAAGAUGGGCAAUAUGGCCUUCUUCUUCCCAUCUUCUUUUGAUGUAGAGGUGUUCUCCACCAUCUUUGCAAGCUCGCGAAGGCACCAAUGACUUGAAGCGUAAUUUUUGGAAAAGAUAGGUAUAUAUAUCUUGGAAUUGUUGAUCGCUUGCAGAAGGCUGUCACUAAUUCUUUCACCCGAUCGAAGCUCUUCAUCAUCAAUGAAAACAUCAAUCCCGGCAUCCACCAGAGCAUGAUAAAGGCUGUUGGUGAAUCCACAACGAGUAUCAGGCCCUCUAAAACUCAGGAAGACAUGGUACUCACCUCCUAAUGUAUUCAUGGUGCUUGUCCCUAUCUUUGAGUUUGCCAUAGGAGCCCACUUCGCACUUAGAGGGAAUUUUUCACAAAGCCGAAGAUGUUUUGCAUUUCUCAAAUGCAAGUCACGAUGAAGAGCUUUGAGACUUAUGGGGGACAAUUAAAAUAGUAUGUGGAUGUUCAAUUUAACCGAUGCCUGUAGGAAACUUGUCAGUAAGAUCCUUGUUGAAAAAACAUCACAUUUCCUUGUUGAAUAAAUGCAUACAGGCAACUUCGCAGCAGGUGCAACUUCCAAUGAUAUUCAAUAAAGUUGAUGGCUUUACAAAAAAUAAGGUGGAGGACAAUGACGUAGUGCACCUUUUCGCACGUCCAAUUUCUUUCCAGUUUCUUCCGUGUUUUUAAACUUUUGCAUUAAAAAAAAAUUAACUCUCAAACUUCUAAAUCAUUUAUGAUUAACCUUUUGCUAUAUCUAUAGUUGGACAUAUUUAAAAUUCCAAUCCAAUUUUGUAAAUUCACAAUUUAUCUACAUAAAUGCAUAAUAACAAAUAUUUCUAAAGAAUCCUCUCUCAUUAUGACACAUGGGACUCUAGAUACCCUUUCAUUUCCUGUACCUUGACCCGGUAUUUCAUAGGGAUGAGGCGUCGCAGGAUCUAGGGUGGGACCUUGCUCCCCCCCCGGAAGGGGGGUUUGGGUUGUUGCGGAGAGCCUUGUGGGGAGGGGUUUUAGGGAAACCCUUCCCAAGAAACCAUGUGAGUAGUUUAAAAACCUGCUUAGGUCUAUAUCUGCUUCAUCCUAUAGAGAAUUGGAUUUUUUGCUUUCACUAUAAAAAGUGCUCCCCCUAAGCACUACCUAAAGCAUAUGCUUCCCACUCCCUAUAUAAUAUUUGUUUUGAUCACUUCACUUUAAAGACUUACGUUUUAUUAUAAUUAAUUACCUUUUAACAACUCAAUUAUCCUCAUAAAAUGUGCAUUUAUAUUAAAAAGCAAAUGAUUGCUCAAAUCUUUUACUUUUGCGCCAAUGGACUAUAUAUUGAUGUAGAAAAUAUUAGGUAUGAGUCUAAUCCGAGCAUGUGAAAAUUUUAGUGCACUCAUCAAGCAACACGUAUCGCUUAGGCCUCACUGUUGGCAAAACCUCUAACACCCUCACCUCUCUCCUCACUCUGAAAGGUGUUUUUUUUUUUUUUUUGAAUUUUUUAUUGAUUUUUCUAUUUUUCUUUCCUUUCUUUUCCUUUCUUUUUCUUUUUCCUCUUCAUCUUAAACCUUGAGCUUUCUUCUCCCCGAACAUGAACACCUCUAGUGUCACGCCCCGAUCCUCAGGCACGCACACAUCCCUUACUUUUGGUCGAUUUUAAAAUGCGAUAUCCCAGGACUAUGUAUCGCCGACCCUUUCAUUUAUAUAUGCACAUGCGGAAGCAGUUAUAAAUCCCCAAAUAAUAAAGCAAUGGGAUAGAAAAGCAUGCCAUAUAUUUUUCUUACUGAAAAUUCACAACUACAUCUUUUUACAUGCAUCUCAUAGUAUUCUACAAUACUAUAUAUACGCAACUCUGGUCUAACGUCUAUUCACAUGCAAACAAGGUCUAACAAGACAGGACAGGAUCUCGGUCCUCAUCUGGGUCGUACUUGAUGUCAUACUCGGGGUCCUCCUCCACGUACUCCUCUUCGGGUUCCUCAACAAGGAUCUCCUCGUUAGAUUCAUGCUCCUUAGGCUCCUCAUCCAGGUCCUGAAAUGGUUAUUCAAUAACCACUGAGACAACGUCUUAGCAAGUUCUACCUCCUAAGACCCGAUUAGCAAACUAAUACACCUUAGGGCUGCCUACGCACAACAUGAGUCAGAGAACUUACCUUAACCUCAGAUUCCACCUGCAUAUUAGUACAGAUCGAAUAGGUACAUAAGCAAUCACAUCACAGAUAAAAACAUCGAUCUAAUUGACUUAGUCGAUUUCAUAUCAGGAAGACCACUCACGAUCAUCUUCCUUCAAUCAUUCAAUUCACAACAUCAAACCAAGGCAAUGAAUCACAUCAAGUCACACUCAGAUCGAAUCAUCGAUCAAUCGACCUAGUCGAUACAAGCUAGUCGAAUCAUUUCUAGGUCAUUCAUCCCACACCAAGCAAUUUCUUAGAUUUAGUGGCUUUACGGUCCCACCUGACCCUCUCAAGAUCUAGUGGCUUUACGGUCCCACUCGACCCUCUCGAGAUUUAGUGGCUUUAUGGUCCCACCCGACCCUUUCAUGAUCUAGUGGCUUUACGGUCUCACCUGACCUUUCCAAGAUUUAGUGGCUUUAUGGUCCCACCCAACCUUUUUACAAUGCCAUACUAUGUCACCGAGCCACGUGCAUUCUCCAGGAAGACAUACCGAGUCUCCGAGCCACGUGCAUUCUCUAAGGCUACCUUCGCCAAGAUGACCAUAUCUAAUUCACCGAGCCACGGGUCUUUCCCCAAGUAACAAUUCCAAUUCACUGGGCCACGGUGCAUUCUCCAAGGUGGAUUAACCAAUUCACUUUCGAUACUAACAACCGAUACCCAACCAAUUCUUCAAUCACAAGGCCAAAAUUUCAUUAUUUAAUAACAUACUUAAAAAUGCACCAUUAAAUCAAUUCGACACGAAUUAAAGCUCAAAUAAAUAAAUGGAUUGCUCCACGAAAAUCAGCACAAAAUUCCAAUCACUGGCCAUCCCAGUUGAAUUUCCGGAAAAUAAAUAAUUAAAUAAAUCAUUUCGAAAAUUAAAUAAAUAAAUACAAUAAAUUCAAUUUAGCACAAUAUAAAGCUCAAUUAAAUAAACGGAUUGCACCACGAUCAUCAGCAUAAAAUCCUGAUCACUGGCCAUCCCAGUUGAAUUUCCGGGAAAUAAAUAAUUAAAUAAUUAAUUUCGAAAAUUAAUAUUUAAUUCCUAAAAAUACCACCUAGGCCCGAUUUGCUUAAUUAACACCCGAUAAGGGACGGGAAAAAUCCCAAGAAGCAUCCAAUAAAUACUAUAGGCAAUUCUCUAUCUAAUCACACUAAUCACACAAUUAAUAAGCAAAGCAAUUAACUAAUAAUCACUAAUAAGUUCUAAUUUAACAACCUAAUUACACUUAAUUAACCCUAAUCAACCUUUAAGUGCAAUUAGCAGACUAAGAAGGCAUUAGUGAGUAAAACUCACUUGAUUAAAUAUUUGCUCGGAUCAAAUCAAUGAGCACGCGACAAAGCUCGAUCUUCUCCAAGGUGAGUCCUCAAACCGGGGCCCGGAACGGCCCGAAAUCGGUCCCGCAAACUCACGGAGAGGCUGGGCUCUCUGAUCUUGCGUUGCUGGCCUUGCUAGUCGGUCCGAAUGGGUUGACCUCAGCUCGGUUCGGGGCUGAGAUGCGGCCAAACUGGAUGCGGGGAGGACUGCUUGAUUGAUGCUGCGCUGAUCUGGACUUGAGGAGCACCGCAAGGGACAAAUCCGGGCUGGCUUUGCUGCUGGAAAGGAAAGCGAAAUGGAGCCAUUUCGUGGAGGAGCCGGUGGUCAACAAAACAGCCAAAGAAACAGCUUCGGCCUUGCUGGGUUGACGGAAGAAGGUUGGGCUGCAGACGCGUGGCCACGAGCUGCUGAGCUUGCUCGAUGAAAACGGCCGCCAAGGAGAGAAAAAUUAAGGAGCAAGCUCCCUCGACCGAACCAAGGAGGAGCAGCAGAACAGAAACUGCGCUCGGCGAAGGAAAAGAAGAGAAAAGCGGGAUCGUGGGGGCAGCUGGCGGCUUGGUCGUAUACCGAGAGAAGAGAAGAGAUAAGAAUGCAGGGGGAGUUGUCGGCUGAAGAUUUAAGGAACGUGCAAAACAUCGAGAAAAAGAGAGGGAGAGAUGUGAUCGUAAAUGGAUAGGAAGGAAUGGGGGUCCCAUGGGUCAACACUUAAACAAAUGAAAGACCAAAGCAAUUUCAAAGAGGAUACGUGUAUGGGACCGUCGGUCAUGGGGUGUGCGCAAAAUAAAGAAAGAAAAGGGAGGGAAAAAGCAAAACAAAAUUUAUAACUUUGCUCAACUUCAACACAAGAAUAAUUGGUCAUCCUAGGCCAAUUUCAACCUCAAUUUGCUCCAUUGAAGUUCAAAAUAAGACGGUCCUUUAGUCUCACGAAUUUCCUUUGAAAUCGACUUUUAUUUCAUUUUUCUCGGCAUCCGACUUUUUGAACAAAUAAUUUCGUUUGAGGUCCAAUUCAAAUGCAGAAAAAGCUCAAACAACUUCCAUUCACCGAUUCACUUACACCAGAUAUCAAAAGUCUCUUCAAAUCGGCCAAUCUUAAUUUCCGUUCNNNNNNNNNNNNNNNNNNNNNNNNNNNNNNNNNNNNNNNNNNNNNNNNNNNNNNNNNNNNNNNNNNNNNNNNNNNNNNNNNNNNNNNNNNNNNNNNNNNNNNNNNNNNNNNNNNNNNNNNNNNNNNNNNNNNNNNNNNNNNNNNNNNNNNNNNNNNNNNNNNNNNNNNNNNNNNNNNNNNNNUAGUUUUCAGAACUUUUAGACAAUGACCCGUGUCGAUUUUCUUCGAGCACAAUGACCCACUCGACACAUGGCGACUUUCGAUUAUCGUGAGAUCUCGAGAAUCAAGUACGGACACAUGGUACCAAAACGACAGUAAAAUCAAAUUAGUGCCGGUCGACGAGAGUUUUCCAAUUUAGUGGAGUCACCCACGAUCGGUCAUUCAUCUCAGUCAAACCAACCUAUUUCUAAAGAUUAGCACGGUCGAGAAAUCGAUUCAUGGUCGAAUUCUCAGUCUAUUUGCCUUAAAGUCCUUAAUAGCCUACCCAGCUAGUCUAGUUAUCUUGUGAGUGGCCAACUCAGAGAAAAACAUGUAGUCGCGUCGAUGAAAUGCCCAAUUGAUCUAAUCGAAAUCCGAACCCGAAAAUCUAGAUGUCACAUCUAGCGCCUGUAGCCAGCCGAAGCAAGGAUUGCUUAGUGUCAUGACUCUAGCUACCAACUGCCAUCCUUCACCGUCGCAAAAACACGACCACCCGCCAAUUAUCUACUCGACUAGCGUCAGUCACCGCCAUCUUUUUUCCUUUGUUUUUUCUUCUUCUUCCCUUUCACUCUAAUGAGGACGACAACAUCUCCUUCCACUACCACCCCACCGCCAUCUCUGUCCACCACCUCUCCGUCGUUUUAGCCCUCCAUUGUCAAGCUCAAGCUCAGUUGGCGAACUUGAGCCUCAGAUAUUGUGAUCUAGAUUUCAACUCGACCUAGAAUCUGAGUUGAUUCACAGUCGAUCGAGUUUUGCUUAGACAAUAAAUAUGACAUCAUAAAUUUCUCAACCUGUUUUCUAUUGAAUUAAUCGGACAUUUCAUUGACACGUUUAUAGGGUUAUUCUCAGAGNNNNNNNNNNNNNNNNNNNNNNNNNNNNNNNNNNNNNNNNNNNNNNNNNNNNNNNNNNNNNNNNNNNNNNNNNNNNNNNNNNNNNNNNNNNNNNNNNNNNNNNNNNNNNNNNNNNNNNNNNNNNNNNNNNNNNNNNNNNNNNNNNNNNNNNNNNNNNNNNNNNNNNNNNNNNNNNNNNNNNNNNNNNNNNNNNNNNNNNNNNNNNNNNNNNNNNNNNNNNNNNNNNNNNNNNNNNNNNNNNNNNNNNNNNNNNNNNNNNNNNNNNNNNNNNNNNNNNNNNNNNNNNNNNNNNNNNNNNNNNNNNNNNNNNNNNNNNNNNNNNNNNNNNNNNNNNNNNNNNNNNNNNNNNNNNNNNNNNNNNNNNNNNNNNNNNNNNNNNNNNNNNNNNNNNNNNNNNNNNNNNNNGAAAGGGAAACGAGAUCAAUGAUGGCCAUUGCCAAUAAUGGGUGGAAAGGGAAGAAGUCCAAGAAAGUGACGAGGACGAUGUCUUUUCAUGUUGGCCACUCGUCGUUUCCUUUCUUCUCUAUUUGGUUCUGCUGAAUUUCCCCUUUAGAUGCCAAGGGGAAGAGUUCUUAAUGUCAUAGAGAGCUCCGAAGGCUGCACCGAGCAUAUUGAAAAGCGUGCUGAAAGUUCCUCUUGAUCACACCAAAUAUUUCUUUUCUGAAGCCUAUUAAAUCUUUUGUUGAGAUUUGUAUCAUUUCGUUAAGAGAUUGAAAAAAUUAUUUUGAGAGAAAUUUUAAAAACUAAACACUGUAUAGUUAUUGAGUAUAAUUAGAAAUUGGAAAUCACCGAGAGUAUUUAAAUGACUUGAGUGUGAUUAUAACUUUCUUUAUAUAUAUUUUUAUAUCUAUAAUGGAAUCUUGUGCUGCUCUCCUUAUAGACAUAUACCACACGAUUGAAUCACAUAAAUAUAAAUCUAGUGUCCGAUUCAUUUUCUUGUUUUGUACAUUUUAUUCAAUUGCUUUUUCUUUUCUUUUUUUCAAAAGGGAAUAUGGUUUGAAGAAAAGUGAAACCAAAGUAAAAGAUAUUCAAUAGGACCCGCAUUAGGCAUUCAUGAACAAAUGCAUGAAAAUGUAUCUUUUAUUUUCUUAAGAUAUCGAUAAAUAUUUAUAACCUUAAACUUGUGGUUAGUGAUAGAAUUUGUCCCAUCGCCUGCUUAACAUUAACUCUGAUCGUGAGUACGAGAUUCAAUGCAAUCUACACGACCCGUUUCUUCUAAUGUCCCUUUGACAAUGCAUAGUGAUGUUCUUUUAUUGCCAUUUGCUCCUUUAAAUUGUGUUAGCCCGUGUGUUUCAGUUUGACUCCUUCAUUUUCCACGACUUUAUGGUCAAAUAUAUUUUAUUUAUUUAGUUUUGAAUGCGAUAUAUCAAGAAAAUCAUAAAUUUGCAGCUACAUCUUGACAUAUUAAGUAUGUCUAUUUUGCAUGAUUUGACAUAGAUUCUCACGACAUUUAUUAGUGAUACAUUUUUUUGUAGCAUGAUUUACCUAAUCAUUUUCAUAUUUCAUCUCUAAAUAAGUUUUUGGUGGAAAGAAAUUGAAAAUCAUUAUGAACAUUAUUCNNNNNNNNNNNNNNNNNNNNNNNNNNNNNNNNNNNNNNNNNNNNNNNNNNNNNNNNNNNNNNNNNNNNNNNNNNNNNNNNNNNNNNNNNNNNNNNNNNNNNNNNNNNNNNNNNNNNNNNNNNNNNNNNNNNNNNNNNNNNNNNNNNNNNNNNNNNNNNNNNNNNNNNNNNNNNNNNNNNNNNNNNNNNNNNNNNNNNNNNNNNNNNNNNNNNNNNNNNNNNNNNNNNNNNNNNNNNNNNNNNNNNNNNNNNNNNNNNNNNCAUUCGGUUAGCUCCAUUCACAGAUGUAAGGAGACGCCGGGGUAAUGAGUAAAGACACUGUGAUCAAAUUUGAACAAAACGUCGUUUCAAAAAUAGCAUUCAAAAUACACAUAAUGCAUUCAUGACAGUUUUUAUGAACCCAACAUUUCACAAAUUAUGUAUAAAACAACAAUCCUUCCAAAGAUAUGGCAAUCGGAUCAUGACUAUGGUCAUCUUUGAUGCGCAACUUUCUACAACUCAGCAACACCUUUUGAAAAUGCUAUGAACAUGUGCAUCUUAUGUAGGGGUGAGCGGUUCUAGGUUCCGAUUUGGUUCCGUCUGGAACCUGGAACCUACCCUCGAGUACAGGUUCCAAAAGAUUUGGAAUCUGGAACCUACCCGUCAGAACCAAGAACCUGAAACCUACCCUAUCACAGGUUUCAGGGUCGGUUCUAGGUUCCAACAAUUUUUUUUUUGUUUUUUUUUUUUUCAGAUUUGAACUAUAACGUACACGCAUAUUAUGGGAAUCUUCAGCAUAGUCAAGAUGCUGGCUGUCACCAAUCUUUCUUCUCAAAUCAUAUGUUUUUAUCAAAACAUAGAAAUCCUUUUUGUAAGUCCGCGAAGAAGUUCUGCUAUGCUUAACCUGUUAACCGCAAGUUCAUAUUAGGAGCAAAUCUACCAAAAAUCAUGCUGGUGCAUAUUUCUGUUUUCAAGCAUUUAAAAUAUCCCUAUGAACACAAAAAAACCUAAUCCAAUCCUUAGAACAAAAGAAAACAACAAACUCACAGAAAAACGUAGAUUGGAGCGGUAGAAUGAUGUAAGCACAAUCUUUGUCUCCUUUGACAUGCAAAGGCAUCGAAUAACAUCUUCUCGAACACAGUUAGUAGCAGUAGCAGUCAAAGCCAUCAGUGGGAUGUCAAAUUUCAAGAACUUCAUCUUGGAGGUGCUGAAGUUCUCUCUUAACACAGAUAGUUUCCUGAAACGUGAAAAAACUUCAAUCAGGAAAGAAUCCUUACCAUAAUCUUUAAUCAUCAUAAUUGUCCCCUCUAUCAACUAGGAUAAUUAACAUGCAAAGCUGAACCAAUGGUCAAAGUCAUGGUAAAUAACCGAGCAACAAGUAAGAAAAAGAGAGAAGAAAUGACUGUAACGAAAAUCAAAUUUUAUUACAGAAAUGAAAGAUAGAUAUAUAUGAGGUAAAAUGACAGGUUUACCAUCGUGUCUAUGAUUAACAUAUGUGACACUUUUAGCAAGUCAGGUCUAAGAUGGUUAAUCACCUGCCAAACAAAUUAGGUAGUGCACAGAGAAAGAUCGGAUCAGAAGAAAAGGGUUAACCUGUAGUCAGGCUGAAAAUCAUGGCCCCAUUUCGAAACACAGUGGACUUCAUCAAUUGCAAAUAAUGCGAUUCCUCGGCCUGCUGCUAGACUUUGUAGUGGCUUUAUAGCCUGUAGGAAGAUCCAUAUCACUCGGUAAAAAAAAUGACAAGAGAUAACACCACUGCACAUGACAAUUAACUUUUGCUAGAUGCUAAUAAUCUGUAUAUUUUGAUAGAUGAUAACUCGUGCGCAAAUGACACAACCUAAAAGGAGUCCAUUUGAUCAUGCAUAUAUCCAUUAUGCGGCACAUUGUUAUCCUUGUCCUAUAUUGCCUCUACAAUUAAGGACCAGUAAUUCAUAAGAGCCACUUUGUAUAAGAGAACAUAACAUUCACCGUGCACACAAAGCACCACAUUCUAUGUUGACAAAAUUCACCCAGAUCACAGAGCCAGAUCACAUUCAUUGAGAACAGAACAUUCAUCCUCAGCACACCUUCAUUAUCAUCAACAAGAAGAACAACAUCGACAUGCGCUAAAAACGUCGCGUUAAGAACAACAUCGUCGCACUACAGGCAAUGAGAUGCACGCUAAGAACAACAUCGUGGCACUACAGGCAAUGAGACGUUCCAGGUGAUUCGCAAUCAUCAUCAGACGCGCAAAACGAUCGGCGGAAAGCGAGAUUAGAUGAGGACUGUACCUUGAUUAAUCUCAGCAAAUGCCGAAUUUAAGAGAAGGCAAAUCGUGCAAUGUUUCCAGAACAGGCACCCUCAGGCUUCGCGAUAAACAAGUCCAGCGACUAGCGUCGAGUGGUGGUAGCGUGGCUUGUGACGUUUGGCGGCGGCCUCAAGGGUGAGCGGCGUUGGUGACAGGCAAAGCGGCCUCGGCGACAGGCAAAGCACGGGAGAGACUGGUGUCGAGCGGCGAGGGUUCGGGCGAGUGGCGUUGGCGACUGGCAUCCAUGGCGUCUAGCGAUGGCGGCCUUGAGGGUGAGUGGUGUCUGGUGGUGAGAGUCAAAGUGGCGUCGGCGACAAGCAAAGGUAGAGUAUGGCAACAACUGGCGUCGAGCUGAGAGGGUUCGCGCAAGCGGCAUCGGUGACUGGCAUCUAGUGGUGUUCGGCGGCAGCGACCUUGAGGGCGAGCGGCGUCUGGCGGUGAGAGUCAAAGCGGCGUCGGUGAUGGGCAAAGGCAGCAUGGCAGCGACGGGGCGUUGAGUGGUGAGGGUUCACGCGAGCAACGUCAGCGACUAGCAUCCAGCGACGUCCGGCGACAACGGCCUUGAGGGCGAGCGGCGUCCGACGGUGUGAGUUCCAGGUCUGAAAUGAAAUCUGAAUAGGGAGCGCCAAGGAGGGGAGGGGGGCUCCUUUUGGAGCCUUAACCAGUUCCGCAACUGGUUCCGGUUCCGUUUUUGAAACCGAAACCGGAAUUGCCGAUUCCCGGAAAAGAGGAACCGGGCAUCGGAACCGGUCCCUUAAGAACCGGGAACCGAAUCGGAACCUCCUGUUCGGUUCUCCGGUUCCUGAUUCUACCCGAGAACCGUGCUCACCCCUAAUUUUAUGCUUUCAAGCCAUUGCCUCAAACGAUUGGAAUACAUAAAAGACGUUAGUGCUUGCUUUUUAGUAAAUCGAAAGGUCAUGCGAUACCAUAUUACAAGAUCCCCAAAAGAUGCCAACAUGCCAUCCUUUGAAAUCAUGUUUUUACCUUUUAAUUAAUCACGCAUGUUGCAUACAGCUUCAAUAAAUCCGAAAGGUUUUAGGCAUGUGUAAAUUGAUGUUAUCGGACGAUUAGUUUUUGGACCUAUUUCUUCAAUAGCUAAAGGUAGUCAAUAUGUGGUAUAGACAACGCCUCUAAGAGUGAGUAGUAACUAGCCGGAGGAGAGUUCUCAUCGAAGGCAUUUUGUCGCGACCAAUUUUUCGAGGGUAUGAACCACCUAGGGUUUGGCUAAUGGAUUGUUAAGCCUAGACUUAACUUGGGCUCUCCCAAGCCCAUACCAAUUCGCGACUUAGGUUUGAAUUGUUAACAUGCAAUUUUUUAAUUAGGAGUCGCCACUAAUCUAUUUUUGGUGGGUCGAUUAGAAACCCUAGUAAAGUAAUGGGAGAUUUACUUUACUCCUACGAACCAGAGACUAAGGGUACGGGGACUUGGUUACGUUAGAUUUCUCUAACGCCCUUACGGUACCUUUCUUUUUAUUUUGAAAAAUGUUUGGCAGGCAGCUUGAAUUGAUUUUGAACUAUCUCCCUAACAUGUGAGGUGUUCAUACAGGUGCGCAAACCACCAAUUUAAUACCCAAGAAAGCAAUUAAAUCAUGUAGAACUUACCUCAAAGCAACGAAAGCAUCUGCAGUGUUAAAUUAAAAUCCACAUCAACAAUCCUAGAUAUGGUUUCUAAUUAACACGCAAUUUCUUUCUUUUUGUUUUCACUUAUUAAGUGAAAAUAUAGUCAAUAUGCAAUGCAAUGCUAUUAAUUUAACAUGAAAUGAUAUAGCAUGGCGACAUAACCUAGACUAUAUAACAUAAAAAUUUUAUGAUCUCUUAAUGAGCAUGUAAUUGUUAAAUAUGCAAUGCAAAUUAACCAAAAUGACUUAAUUCUAAUGACGUGCAAUGCAAUGCAAUGACGUACAAAAUUAUUUCAUCUAAAUGACAUGCGACAUUGCAAUUUAAUAUGCGAACUAUAUGUCACGCGACAUUUAUUAAAUGACCUAAUCUGAUGACGGUCAAUUUCUAAUUAGAAAUAAACCUUAACAAUAAUCACUAAAUGACGUGCAUUGUAUGAAACUAAUUUUAUAUGACGUGCACAUGAUUUUUAUUUUCCUAAUAAGCAUGCAAUCUAUUUAGGAGAAAUUAUCUAAACCUAUAAUAUGCAAUCUUAGCCUGCAAUGACGUGCAAAGAAUGCUCUAAUUCUACAUGACAUAUGCAUAUGACAUUUUUUAUUAAAAAAAUGCAAUCUAUCUUAGAAAUUGCAACUAAUUUAUCCUAAGAAAAAUUUUAUGAAAUCUCAAAUGAUCUAUAGCUAGAUUAAGAUUCUAUCUAAUUUAAACUAGGGAUUAAGUCAUAUUAAAUCCUAAUUUAAACCAAAACAUUAUCUAAAUCUAAAAUGCCAUUUAUCUGAAAAAGAUGAUCUAAAAUGAAACAUGCAAUUCUAAUCUAAUAUGCACAAUGAUUUUUUUUUUUGUGUUUUUCUUUAAUCUCGAAAUUAAAAUUAAUACAUAAUUAACAUGCAAUUCAAAUAAAAAAAACUAAUAACCUAAAUGAAUGCACUUUCUUUUUUUGGAUUUUUUUUAUUUAAAAAAUUCAUAAUAAGAUUGCAUUCCUAAAUAUGCAAGAUGACAACAAACCUAAUCCUAAUUAAGAUUUUUUUGAUUUUUUAUUUUACGAAAAUAAGAUUUCACUCAACCAACUUGAUGAUAGCAAAUCAAACAAAAGAUAAGAUUGAUAUCCAAAAAUUGGCGAACCAUAUCUCGCGCAUGAGAUCGGGUUGACCAAUUUUAAUUUUAAAUCGCGAAUCAAAUCUCGGGCUUGAGAUUUGAUUGUUGAUUUUUAUAAGGGAUUGCGAGUCGGAUUUCAGGCGCGAAAAUCGGACUAUCAAUCCCUAGCUUGAGGGCACUUUCAUGUUGGAAUCUCAAUCAAACAUUUAAGAGGAACAAUUCCACUAAACAAAACCAAAUAUAAAGGAAAAUAAAUAAAAAAACUAUAACUGGAUAAGCAAUAAUAAUAAAAUAAAAGAAACUACAUAAAUCCCUUUUCCCUUUUUUUUUUUGUUUUUUUUCUUCUUUCCUUUUCCACGUGGAACCGUGGGUCUUCGAGGAGGUCCACCAGGAGUUAAUCGUCGGAGCUCCGACGAUGAGGACCAGCAGCGAGCGGAUUGGCGGCGAGCGGUGGCGUCGCGAGGAGCAGCGGUAGGCGAGAUCUCGGCCGGCGUCGCGGGUGCAGGUGCUCGGCUCCGACGGCACGGCAGCGAAUGGGACUGCAACUCGGGGAAUCUGGUCACAGUGUUGCGGUGGGCUCAGAUCUGCAGGCGAAGCGGCUGGCGUUCGGGCAGCGGUGAGGGGGGUGAGUAGCGGCGUCGAGCAGCAGCGAGGGGGUUGAGCAGCGGCGUCGGGCAGCAGCUCCGUUACGGCAGAUCAGGGACAGAGAUCGGCUGAGGCGCGAAGGGCUUUAUCUGGCCGGUGGAACGGAUCGACAAGGCAGCAGCAGUUUCGCAGGGGCGAUGGAGCUGGAACGCGGAUCCUGGGUCGUCGGGUUGGUAGGCGAAGCAGCAGCUCGGCCAGGAGGCGCGGCUCGUCGAAGGAGCAGCAAGGACCCGUGGAGCAAGGGCGCCCGGGCGGAGUGCGGUUACAGAUCUGUUCGGGUCUUGCUCCGGAUAGAGGGGAACGUUAGGCGUCGGACCAGAAGCGGCACAGCGAUGGCUUCAAGCGGGGGCGGCGGGAGCAGAGGCGAUCGGAGCAGGAGCAGCGUCAGUGGUGCUUGGUGAUGGCGAGCGAGAGAUCUACAGGUUGUGGGCUUCGGAGGCGCGGUGGAGGUGGGGCAAGGCGGCGACGUCCGAAGUGCAGCGAGCGCGGGCAGCAGUCGAUCCCACCGGAGAAGAAGAACAGUGUUUUUUUUCCUUUUUUUUUUAUUUCUUUCUCUCUCUUCCUGUCUCUCUCACGUUCUUUUCCUCUGCCCUGUGUACUUUCUGCAGCUUCUCCCUUUCUUUUCUUUUUCUGAAAUUUUUUUAGAGAAGCCCCCCCCCCAAACCCCUCGCACGCACGGCCUUUUAUAGGGGAGGGAAUUGGAUUUUCAAAUUCUUCAUCGAAUCAACCUUCGCAAAUCUUUUUAACAAAAUUCAUCUCAUAUUGAUAAGGAUUCGAGAUCAAGAUGAAAUUUUUUCUAAAUCCAAAUCUUUUAAAGACAAAUCGCAAUAUUUUUUACCCAUCUGCCCUAUCCAAAAAAGAUUCAUAUCUCGGAAAAAUUUUAAAAUAUUAUAUUCCCACAAGAUAAUUUUUAAUUAUUAAAAAGCACGGGCUUGGGCCAACCUGUUCGCUUCACGGGCCUGAUCCAUCUAAUUUGAAUAUAUCCGCCACUGGUCCAAUAAAAUGCAAAAAAUGCAAAUAACAAAAUAAAUGCAACUUAAAUCUAUAUGCUAUGCAAUUAAUAAAAUUAACCCCUAAUUUCCUAUGCAAUAAUAAAUUAAUUAAAUUAUCAAAAUUUAUGUGUCAACAGCUGCCCCUCUUUGAAGGUGAGCUCGUAGAUGUUGCAUUCAAAGACAAAUUGAAACCGAAAUUUUGACCAUGCACAUGCACUGAAUGACUUGAUCUUUGAUUUUUGAUUUUUUUUCUUUCCGGAAGAUGAAUUCCAUUUUAAAAUGCAAUUAAUAUGAUGCUUGAAAAUGCUAAUGCAAAUGCAUGAUGUGAAAGGAAAAUACGUACUUGCAAUUUCUUGCCAGUCAGUGCGGUAAAGCAUCUUGAGGUACAUGAUAAAUCCCCAUUUACUCUGUAAGUACCUAACUCUCACUCAGGUUCCUUGAAGAGUGUAACAGGUAAUAGGUUGAGACAUUGAGAUCGAGAAGACCAUUCACGUCCAAAGUGAAAUGUUCAAAGAAUUGAGACAUCCAGAUCCAGACUGAGAUGCCAAGAUUUCUGAACUCUAAAUACCUAGAUCCAGACUAAGGUAUAAUGAGAAGGAUCGAAAAACAUUCACAUCCAGAGUGAAAUGUUCAACGAAAAGAAUUAAGACAUCCAGAUCCAGACUGAGAUGUCAAGAGUUCUGAAUUCGAAAUACCUAGAUCCAGACUAAGGUAUAACGAGAAAUGUUGAAAAAAACAUUCACAUCCAGAGUGAAAUGUUUAGACAAAAAUAACUAAGACAUCCAGAUCCAAACUGAGAUGUCGAAAUUUUGGAAAUUGAAAUACCUAGAUCCAAACUAGGUAUAACAAGAAUAGUUGAAAAACAUUCACAUCCAGAGUGAAAUGUUGAAUGAAAAUAAUCAAGACAUCCGGGCCCAGACUGAGAUGUCAAGAGUUUGGGACUCGAAACUAAGGUAUGACGAGGAAGAUCGAAGAACAUUCACAUCCAGAGUGAAAUGCUCUAACGAAAAGAAUCAAGACAUCCGAGUCCAGACAGAGAUGUCAUGAUUUUUGAAAACUCGAAAUACCUAGAUCCAGACUAAGAUAUAACGAGGAAGAUUGAAGAACAUUCACAUCCAAAGUGAAAUGUUCAACAAAAAGAAUGGAGACAUCCAGAUCCAAACUGAGAUGUCUAAUUUUUGGAAAAUGGUAAAGAAACUUACCUGGAAUAUCUUACCUUCAAGGAGGGUAGAGUGAUCCAAAGUAGUUGAUGUUACAUAUCCAGGACUCGUACUUUUCUACGGUCACCUAACAUUGCAACAUUGAUUAUCUGACCAGGACUCAAACCUUUUCUCGAUCGCCUGAAUCUGAGGAAAACUUCUAGGGGACAACUCCGUCGAUUCUAGUGUCGGUGCAUUUGAGAGGGAAAUACCUGUGUAACGACGAGUAUUCGAGUAUUUAAGGUAUGGAUAGAGAUAUACUUACCUAGUAACAUCUCUAAUCCUGGGGGAUAUGUCUCCUGCAAAACAUGGUCAUAGGAGAGGUAAUAUGCAUUUAUGAUCACAAACAUGCAUUGAUUUAAGGGCGGUUCAUGCGCUGUGAUUUAUAUCAAGCAUGCAUCACCUAACUUCUAUUGGGAAGGAUUUCACAAAGAAUGUUCCAAUCUGAACACAUGAGUGUCAUGGAUGUACCAAAUGGGGGACCUCUUGGUCUGAAAGGACUUUUCACUCAUCCUCAUUAAAAUGGGUUGUUUUAUCCUGACUUUUGAUGCAGGAUUUUUGACAAUCACUCUAUCUCACUGUCAUCAUGCCAAACAAGGGUCUUGAGCAAUCUCGCAAGUGGUACGACCUUACCAAUCUGAGAGGACUUUAACAGGGACCGCAAUGUGAGGUUGGUCAACGGCUUAACAAAGGGGACUCUUUGAGUCGAGGCUAUUAAAAAAAUGAAUGAUAUUUCGCAAUCAUCCUAGGGUUUACAAGCCAAGAAACAUGAGAAAUGAAGCAGAAAUUAUCUUACUCGCACUUCUUUAAGCGGUGCUUUCAAACAUAUGAACUUUUACGUUAAUUCAAGUGCCCUAAUCUAAAGAGACUUUGCGAGGGACGUAACGUAGGCUAAGUUCAUGGGUUGAGAAACAAAAAGAUGAUUAUGCUCAAAAAGUGUUUAUGGGGUCAAAGUUGGUGACCAUCUUGACAUUUCCACCAAUUUUCCUCCUCAUCGUCGAAGAUUUUCUUCACUUCACAACUCCACUGAUUGCAAUAUCUCAACAUUUGAGUUUUUUUUUUUUAGGUACCCAUUUGUUAGGGAUACGACUCACUUCAUCAAGUGUUUGAUUUUUUCUUUGGGCAUUGGCUUUGCUUUUACCAGGCACACUGCUUUUUCAUGCCCCAUUUUUGCACUCUUUUUUUUUUUACAAAGUCUUCAUUUUUAUCAGCAUUGUAAACCAUGCUACUUGAGUGGUUUGAUUUUUCCUUGCCCCAAUGUGGGGGAUAAUCACCAACUAGGCUUAAUAUGAAACGAAUUCAUAGGCUCAAAUGGGCUAUGCAAUGGAUAAUAUAGUGUGGAUAGAGAAAGAACUGCUCUUCGUCAUUCUAAGGCACUUCAAAUUAUCGUACAAGUUACACUGCGAAAACAAUACUCGAAGAUUGAUGCAAGUUUGAGUAAGAAAAUUCCUACGAUUUCAUUUCAAACUUUGUCCCAGUAUGGGAUGAUCCUUGACAGGGAUAACUUUAGAAGCUUUUCUGUGUGUGGGCUCAAAGGGCUGAACAAUGGAUAUAUUUGUAAUGUUUCGGGUAGCAGAAGAAACUGCCUCUCAUCACCUUAGUUGACGUACCCUUUGCGAGAUCACCCUUUUCCUCAUAGGCAUGGAAUUUUUCACACAACUCACUGGGGGUUUGUGUAUGGAAUGGGUUUGCCUUUCAUCAUUCCAAAGUAUCCCAUUUCACACAUUCAAUCCAUCUCACACAAUUCAUCAAGGAAGAAAAAUGUAAGAUUUGCAGCAAAUUUGAACGAUUCAAUUCACUGAGAAAAUUUACUCAUCGUAGAAAUGCUUGCAGCUCAAAUCAUGACAUAGCAAAUUCUAUCAUGGAUAAUACUUCUUGAAAGCAUUAGAAUUUACUAGAGUUUGAAAACUCAUGACCAUCCAUUUUUGCUAGGAUGGCACCUCUUGAAAGUACCUUCCUUACCACAUAUAGGCUGUAAUUUGGAGCAAACUUACCCCCAGGAUCUUCCACCGAAGAAUGAUGGUUCUCAUUUACUUGCCCCAAAUCUUUUUUCAUUGCAAGUGCGCUCUAAAUCUAUUGAUCACAAGUUAAGUAUAUGAUCAUUGAAACUUGAUACGUUAUUCUCAGAUGUCCCUUGUCAUAACAAGUUAUAGAAUUAUGCUCUGAGACAAGAAGCAAAUGAGUUAGAUAAACAAACAGGUUUAAUCUGCUACAAGUUUUGGGAAUUUUUUUUUAGCAGUGAAAUGCUUUUGUUUUUGAAAAGGUUUUUGGGAAGAAACAUGAAAGAGUCCAGCCCUCAGGAUUUCUCCGUGGAUGAUAUUUUCUUUUUCAUGGUUGGAUAUCAUCAUUGGACUGGUUUGGAGUACCCCAUCAUGUCCUCAAAAUUGGAAAUAAAAUUGUAAUUUCAUUGAAUAGAAUCAAAUGAAUUACAUUAUUAGAAUGGAAAUUGUGAUUCCUAACCCCUAAAAAGAGAAAACAUCAAAAAUGAUUCCUAAAAAGCGGAAACCAAUCCCAAAAAGUGAUAAACAUUCCUAGAAAGCGAUAAAAAUUCCUGCGCAGGGGAAUGUGCAACAGUAACAAGUUACUAUUGCAGGCUAACGUCCAUGUCUUCCGAAGGUCCUUCGUCAUUGGUUCCUAUGAAGAGGUCAUCGAACAGACUUGUGAUUCCUUCCAGGGCAUCAUCAGAGUUCUCUGUCUUUGGAGACGUCGGAUCGUCCAUGUCAUCCCAUCCACUUGGAACUAUGUUGCGGGAGUCAAAGUAAAAGCUGGGAGGAGCCGAACACUUCACUAAGUAAUCAAACUUGCCACUAGACUGCCCUAGAGUGUCCAUCACUUCCACUUCAUCCUGCCCCAUCUUAGGGACAUUGUCAGGUUUAGGUUUUUCAGCAGUGACCAACAGUGGGUCAUCUUCCAGGUCAAGCAUGUCACCAUUGCCCAUUUGGGUCUUACCUGACUGCUUCAGGACUACUGUCUCAGGGAGAGUAGGUGCAAGAGUCAAAUCCGUUUGGAGGGAUUGGAUUUGAGCUGUCAUGAAUUGCAUAGAGGUGAGCAACUGUCGGAGUUGGUCUUCCAUAGCGGAGAUACGAUCACGCAUUUCGGUUUGGUCGGCCAUUCUAGCUCUCGAUCGCGUAAUACGCGGAGGAUUCGUUAUCACCUAAUUCAAAUGAAAAAUAUAUAAGUAUGAGGUGCAAAUAAAGAAUCAAUCCAUGACAAUGAUCUAUCAACUUUUUUUCAUCAUUUUUUUUUCAUAAAAAAACUCUUACAAGGAGGGAAUUUCCUAAAGAGAGCUAGAAAAAUAGACAUCCUAGUAAAAUCAAAUUUCCUAGACAUGAAUUGAAAACAAAUUCUCCAAAGUUUUUUUUUAUUUUCCAAAUGAUUUAUUGCAUUACAAUUUCCUCAUUUCAUUAUUGAAAGGAAUUAGAUCAAAUGACUAUCUUAGAUUGUCAUGGAUAGACCAAAAGCAUGACAAAAUAAAUUGCAUGGUAUAGGGAUAGAAAACUUACUUUACCAAGAAAAUUCGACGGCAAUCACAUAGACAUGCGCAUGGUGAGUGGCUCGAUUUCUAAUCUAUAAGGCUUAUCAAGGUGGAGCCACAAGGAUGAUCAGACUAGCCACGGGCUUGUGGACUAUGUCGGGUCCUCAUGACUUCGGCUUGGUCGAAGAGCCGACCUGGGUCGCGGGCAUGCGGACUGAGGUGGGUACUCUUGACACCAUGAAAGAAACUUCGGGAUUGAGAUGGGCGACUCGUACCGCGAGCAUGCGGUCGAAGUGGUAUCCAUCUCAAUACCAUCCUAAAUGAUCCUGUGCGGCCCAGGUCCGGCAGCAGGUUGUGUGUGCAAAGUGUAGUGAUUUAUGCAAAGCAUGCAUAGCAAUUUAAAUCAAACAACACUUCAAUAUAAAAAUAAACCAUACAUUUCUUACACCUCCCUGCAAGGCAAGGGUUAGUAAUCACUUCCCCUUAUACCUCCCAAUCUGCAAGAACAUUUAACACCUAAAUGUUAGGGACGUACCUGGGAUCCUUGCUGCCAAACAAAAAUAUUUUUCAAAAAAAGAAAAUUGGCCUAAGUCCACUAAGAGUUUCAACUCAAGUCCCCAGCGGAGUCGCCAAGCUGUCGCGACCAAUUUUUCGAGGGUAUGAACCACCUAGGGUUUGGCUAAUGGAUUGUUAAGCCUAGACUUAACUUGGGCUCUCCCAAGCCCAUACCAAUUCGCGACUUAGGUUUGAAUUGUUAACAUGCAAUUUUUUAAUUAGGAGUCGCCACUAAUCUAUUUUUGGUGGGUCGAUUAGAAACCCUAGUAAAGUAAUGGGAGAUUUACUUUACUCCUACGAACCAGAGACUAAGGGUACGGGGACUUGGUUACGUUAGAUUUCUCUAACGCCCUUUCGGUACCUUUCUUUUUAUUUUGAAAAAUGUUUGGCAGGUAGCUUGAAUUGAUUUUAAACUAUCUCCCUAACAUGUGAGGUGUUCAUACAGGUGCGCAAACCACCAAUUUAAUACCCAAGAAAGCAAUUAAAUCAUGUAGAACUUACAUCAAAGCAACGAAAGCAUCUGCAGUGUUAAAUUAAAAUCCACAUCAACAAUCCUAGAUAUGGUUUCUAAUUAACACGCAAUUUCUUUCUUUUUGUUUUCACUUAUUAAGUGAAAAUAUAGUCAAUAUGCAAUGCAAUGCUAUUAAUUUAACAUGAAAUGAUAUAGCAUGGCGACAUAACCUAGACUAUAUAACAUAAAAAUUUUAUGAUCUCUUAAUGAGCAUGCAAUUGUUAAAUAUGCAAUGCAAAUUAACCAAAAUGACUUAAUUCUAAUGACGUGCAAUGCAAUGCAAUGACGUACAAAAUUAUUUCAUCUAAAAUGACAUGCGACAUUGCAAUUUAAUAUGCGAACUAUAUGUCACGCGACAUUUAUUAAAUGACCUAAUCUGAUGACGGUCAAUUUCUAAUUAGAAAUAAACCUAACAAUAAUCACUAAAUGACGUGCAUUGUAUGAAACUAAUUUUAUAUGAUGUGCACAUGAUUUUUAUUUUCCUAAUAAGCAUGCAAUCUAUUUAGGAGAAAUUAUCUAAACCUAUAAUAUGCAAUCUUAGCCUGCAAUGACGUGCAAAGAAUGCUCUAAUUCUACAUGACAUAUGCAUAUGACAUUUUUUAUUAAAAAAAUGCAAUCUAUCUUAGAAAUUGCUUAGAAAUUGCAACUAAUUUAUCCUAAGAAAAAUUUUAUGAAAUCUCAAAUGAUCUAUAGCUAGAUUAAGAUUCUAUCUAAUUUAAACUAGGGAUUAAGUCAUAUUAAAUCCUAAUUUAAACCAAAACAUUAUCUAAAUCUAAAAUGCCAUUUAUCUGAAAAAGAUGAUCUAAAAUGAAACAUGCAAUUCUAAUCUAAUAUGCACAAUGAUUUUUUUUUUGUGUUUUUCUUUAAUCUCGAAAUUAAAAUUAAUACAUAAUUAACAUGCAAUUCAAAUAAAAAAAACUAAUAACCUAAAUGAAUGCACUUUCUUUUUUUGGAUUUUUUUUAUUUAAAAAAUUCAUAAUAAGAUUGCAUUCCUAAAUAUGCAAGAUGACAACAAACCUAAUCCUAAUUAAGAUUUUUUUGAUUUUUUAUUUUACGAAAAUAAGAUUUCACUCAACCAACUUGAUGAUAGCAAAUCAAACAAAAGAUAAGAUUGAUAUCCAAAAAUUGGCGAACCAUAUCUCGCGCAUGAGAUCGGGUUGACCAAUUUUAAUUUUAAAUCGCGAAUCAAAUCUCGGGCUUGAGAUUUGAUUGUUGAUUUUUAUAAGGGAUUGCGAGUCGGAUUUCAGGCACGAAAAUCGGACUAUCAAUCCCUAGCUUGAGGGCACCUUCAUGUUGGAAUCUCAAUCAAACAUUUAAGAGGAACAAUUCCACUGAACAAAACCAAAUAUAAAGGAAAAUAAAUAAAAAAACUAUAACUGGAUAAGCAAUAAUAAUAAAAUAAAAGAAACUACCUAAAUCCCUUUUCCUUUUUUUUUUUGUUUUUUUUUCUUCUUUCCUUUUCCACGUGGAACCGUGGGUCUUCGAGGAGGUCCACCAGGAGUUAAUCGUCGGAGCUCCGGCGAUGAGGACCAGCAGCUAGCGGAUCGGCGGUGAGCGGUGGCGUCGCGAGGAGCAGCGGCAGGCGAGAUCUCGACCGGCGUCGUGGGUGCAGGUGCUCGGCUCCGACGGCACGGCAGCGAAUGGGACUGCAACUCGGGGAAUCUGGUCACAGUGUUGCGGUGGGCUCGGAUCUGCAGGCGAAGCGGCUGGCGUUCGGGCAGCGGCGAGGGGGGUGAGCAGCGACGUCGGGCAGCGGCGAGGGGGGUGAGCAGCGGCAUCGGGCAGCAGCGAGGGGGUUGAGCAGCGGCGUCGGGCAGCAGCGAGGGGGUUGAGCAGCGGCGUCGGGCAGCAGCGAGGGGGUUGAGCAGCGGCGUAGGGCAGCAGCUUCGUUACGGCAGAUCAGGGACAGAGAUCGGCUGAGGCGCGAAGGGCUUUGUCUGGCCGGUGGAACGGAUCGACAAGGCAGCAGCAGUUUCGCAGGGGCGACGGAGCUGGAACGCGGAUCCUGGGUCGUCGGGUUGGUAGGCGAAGCAGCAGCUCGGCCAGGAGGCGCGGCUCGUCGAAGGAGCAGCAGCGGCGCUCGAGCAGCAAGGACCCGUGGAGCAAGGGCGCCCGGGCGGAGUGCGGUUACAGAUCUGUUCGGGUCUUGCUCCGGAUAGAGGGGAACGUUAGGCGUCGGACCAGAAGCGGCACAGCGGUGGCUUCAAGCGGCGGCGGCGGGAGCAGAGGCGACCGGAGCAGGAGCAACGUCAGUGGUGCUUGGUGAUGGCGAGCGAGAGACCUGCAGGUUGCGGGCUUCGGAGGUGCGGCGGAGGUGGGGCAAGGCGGCGUCGUCCGAAGUGCAGCGAGCGCGGGCAGCAGUCGAUCCCACCGGAGAAGAAGAAUAGUGCUUUUUUUCCUUUCUUUUUAUUUCUUUCUCUCUCUUCCUAUCUCUCUCACGUUCUUUUCCUCUGCCCGGUGUACUUUUGCAGCUUCUCCCUUUCUUUUCUUUUUCUGAAUUUUUUUAGAGAAGCCCCCCCCCCAAACCCCUCGCACGCACGGCCUUUUAUAGGGGAGGGAAUUGGAUUUUCAAAUUCUUCAUCGAAUCAACCUUCGCAAAUCUUUUUAACAAAAUUCAUCUCAUAUUGAUAAGCAUUCGAGAUCAAGAUGAAAUUUUUUCUAAAUCCAAAUCUUUUAAAGACAAAUCGCAAUAUUUUUUACCCAUCUGCCCAAUCCAAAAAAGAUUCAUAUCUCGGAAAAAUUUUAAAAUAUUAUAUUCCCACAAGAUAAUUUUUAAUUAUUAAAAAGCACGGGCUUGGGCCAACCUGUUCGCUUCACGGGCCUGAUCCAUCUAAUUUGAAUAUAUCCGCCACCGGUCCAAUAAAAUGCAAAAAAUGCAAAAAACAAAAUAAAUGCAACUUAAAUCUAUAUGCUAUGCAAUUAAUAAAAUUAAUCCCUAAUUUCCUAUGCAAUAAAUAAAUAAUUAAAUCAUUAAAAUUUAGGUGUCAACACAUUUCUACAAAAAAGUUUAGAUGUGUUUAUUUUGAGUGCAUGCCUCAUUGUUCGUCAAAUUUCUGCCAUUCUUUUGUAUUGGACAAUUCAGUAAUAAUAACAUUACAUUCAUUAAAACAUUACAUUCAUUAAUGGGAGCUUUAAUUACAUUCUUAAUGCGAAAAGCUUCUCCACCGUGUCAUCCUUCUUUGGAAACUUACAGAAGAAGAAUUAAGGCGUUGCAUGAGAAAAGGAGAAAAGAACGUCUAUUAUGAGAAAUAAACAAAGAAAUUCUUGAUUUGAAUGCCUGACGUCCGAUGCCACUUUCUUUAGCGAGAGACAUCAUUUUGGACGUUUGUAUCGCGUGACUCACACGAUUCAAUUGAAACUUAUGAACGACAACUUCACAGCAGUUGCAGCUUUCAAUUUAUAGUCAAUAAAGUUAAUGGCUUUAGAAAAAAAUGAAAUGGAGGAGAAUAAUGGAGGUGAACCUUUUUCCAAACCCAAUUUCUUUCGAGUUUCUUUGUUAGAGCUAACAUUAUCACUUAAAAAUGGGUGAAUAGGUGAUUAUAAACAAUUAAAGCGGAGUUUAAAACAACCAAGUUCGAUAUCAUGAAAAACAAAAUUUGAUGAAAAACUUUGUAGUGAUCAGAUUUUCUGCAACGUCUAAUGAAAAACUACACAAUAAUCAGACUUUACUAUGUGCAAUAAAUAGAAUAAAUGAGAGAUUAAAGAAUAGAGAAAAUCGCACACAACAAUUAUAGUGGUUCGGCUUAUGAUAAGCCUACAUUCACUCUUCCAUGCUAUAGCCUAUUGGUUGGAUUCCACUAUGAAGAACUAAUAAGAGCUUACAAGAUAUGAGCUCUAAACACUCAAGUUCAUGUGUAUGACUCCUCACACACUCUCAAAUUAUACAAUGAUACUCAUAGAGAUGAAUGUAUUUGACCACAAAACACUCUUUAGACUUUGGAAUUAUAAGUUUCGAUUUUCUUGUGUUGCGUUUUUCCUUUUAGCUUUCAGACCUCCUUUUAUACUUCUCCCAAACCAAGCUAACCAUUGGACAUAUAUCCAAAAAGAUUAUCCAGCCAAUCUACUUGUUGGCCUGGAUCUCAUUAAGAAUGUUUGAUCACUUCAAGGAUGCUGAGAAUAAAGCUUCCCAUAGAUUUUGCUUCUCAUACAGCAGUUUGGGUUUUCAUAAGUCGAGUGCUUCAAUUUAAAAAGAAUGUUUCGCCUCAAGUAUAUCGUUCUAGGAAAGACAAGGAAUCCAAUCAAUCGCCACUAACCUUUACAUGAGGAUAUUGUCUCCUUCCUAGCUGUUUGAUAGAGUACAUAAGAAAUGAAAUAAUUAAGUCAUAACUCUGGUUCUAAUUGACAUCAUCUGGUCAUAUUCCAUUAGAUUUUGCACUUGAAAAAUACUUAUCAUCACUUCCCAUGCUGAACCUUCUUGACUAGCUCAACGCUCUCUCUCUCUCCAUGCAUACGUGUCUGACAUCCAAUCGAGGUUGAGACAAGACAUGUGACCUCCAUUGGUGGAGGCGCUCAAGUUCAUAUCUGGAUCGCCCAACUUGUCCUCCUAUCUAGUCUAAAUUGAAUUAGCUAGUUAAUCGUAUCCACGUAGGUAUCCUCAUUGACGUAUUAAAUGGCUAGUUAAUAUUAUUAAUUGCCUCAUCAGCAAUUUUUGUUAGUCAACUUAAUGAAAAUAUUGAAUGAAAUUCAUGAAGUACAAGUACCAUUAUAUUGCCAGAUAUUUUUGGGGCAGCAUUGAAAAAUAGGGAAAAGUUUAGGGAGCAUAAUUAAAUGAAUGCGUGGUUUAAUAUUUAAAUAUUCUUACACCCAUACUAUUACUGAAAAACAAAAGAAGAUAAUACAAAUCAUCAAGAUCUUUAAUCGGGUACCUAAGCGAGAGAGCUUGAUUAAUAGAGAAAGGUCUUUAAUGGGAAUCAUAUUUGCAGAGAAGGGACGUGAAUAAUGUAUGUUUUACCUCUAGCUAGAUCAUUCAAUGCAACUGAGUGAUGUGAAGAUGCUAUUCUGUUAAUUUGUUUCAAUCUCCCUUAUGGAAACUAGUAGAAACGUUUUCUUGUAGAUUACAAGAACCAAUCCUCGGCUUUCACUUAAAAUACUAACUUCAUAUCCACUAAUUCCGAAAUCUAUCCACACUUUGCAACAAGAGGUUUCAAAAAAAAAAAAAAUGUACAGUUCGCACGAUCUAAUUUCCACAAUUUUUUAGACUCAAAAAGAUAUUAAAUCUGACCUUUUUUUUUACAUCAAGGCGCAAAAUGCAUGCUCAAAAUAAUAGCAGACGCAAAAUAAAUCAUAAUAAAAAGUUGAUAAUGAUUUUUGUGUUUUCCAUGCAUAAUGAAAAAUGUAGUUGAGCCACAUAGGCAAAUAAAAGAUUAAUGGAAAAAUUGUCUAAUUGGUAUUAAACCUAUUGUAAGGACAUUAAUUCAAUUAUAAAUUAUCCAUUUUUACCAAUUUAGCGUUAAAAUUUUACCCCAAAUUCUAGAUUUCUAUUUAAAAUUGGCCAGAAUGACUAUAUUGAAAUUUUGCGUAAAAGUUGAAGACUAAAUUAUAAAAUUGAAAGGUUUAUGACCAAAGUGACAUCCGUUAAAUAAGUUUAGGACUGAUUGGAUAAUUUUUUGAAGGAUUAACCGCUCCGUUAUUUUCUCUACUCUUAUAGCCCGUUUGGAUAAGAAAAUAAAUAAUAUAUAAAAAACACACACAUUUAUAUAAAUUAAAAAAGAAGUAUAUAUUUUUGUCUUACAAAAAAGAGAUGUGUGAUAUCUUUCACCCAGAUGGUUUUCAUUAAGUUUAGGGCGCGAAUGGUAACGUUUCUGUUCUUUUUUUGUUCAAGGGAAAAGAAACAAAAAAAAGUGUUUCUAUUCCGGGGAACAAUUUUUGAACAAAAGAACACGUUUGGUAACGUUUGGUCCGGGAAUAAAAAAUGAACAGAAACACGUUUGGUAAAUUUUAUUCUUUUUUUAUUUCUUUUAAUUUUUUAAACAUUUUUAUUUUAUUUUUUAUUUUUUCCUUUCUUUUUAUUUUUUCUUUUUUCCGGCCGGUCCCCGGCCUCCGGCGACCGGCCGACGAGGCCGGCAGCCUCGCCCAGCCACGGCGAGGCUCGCCGGCCCUCGCCGUGGUUGGGCGAGGCUNNNNNNNNNNNNNNNNNNNNNNNNNNNNNNNNNNNNNNNNNNNNNNNNNNNNNNNNNNNNNNNNNNNNNNNNNNNNNNNNNNNNNNNNNNNNNNNNNNNNAUAUGGCUUUGAGCUCAUGGCCAUGGCCAUAUAAGUUCAAAGCUUGCAAAGCUUGAGGCAGCCAUGGCUGUCAAGCUUCGGAGCUUGCUUGCGGUUGACAUUGCUACUCAAGCUCGAAGCCUGUGACCAUCAUGGCCAAAUUUGGCUUCAAAGCUCUAGAUCUGGCCUUGAAGUUUACGGUCCAUAUCCGUUUGAGCUAGAAGCUUGCGAUUUGCCAUGGUUAGAUCUACUUCAAAGUUCACAACUGCCAUGACCACUUGAACUUAAGCUUGAAACACGUGGUUGUCAUGACUUCUUGAGCUUGAAGCUCGUGGCCAGGGUAGAGAUCGAGCGGCCACGGGGUUGAGAUCUAAAGGUCGUAGAUCUCAUCUACGAGCUCUCAAUCGCCAUGGCUGCUCGAGCAUUUGAGCUGCAGCCAAGGCUACAGGAAGAAUCCAGGUCAAAAAUAGAGUCAAUUUUUGAAUAUAAAGAAAAAAUAUAUAAUAUAGAGAAAUUAACGACGUUUCCACCACAUCAACAAAUAUUCACAACGGCCCCAAAAUAUAUAGCAACAUUUGAGUUAAGGCUUAGCUUCAAAGCCAUUUGAGUUUUAAAAGCCCAAAAAAUGAAAAAGUACCAAAUUCCAAUGUUAAAUUAAACGAAAAUUCACAACAGACCCAAAAUCUACUUAAAACAAAAAAGCAUGAAUGAAAAAUAAAAUAGAAGGCCAAGGAACGCUGCAGCUUCUUCGGUAAAUAGUCCUACAGAUGGUUUGAGUUCUUUCGUUUGAUUAAUUUCUUUGAUAAAGUUAUUUUUUUUUCAGGUGAUUUUUUUUCAGGUGAUUUUUUUUCAGGUGAUUUUUUUUUCAGCUUCAAUGAGAGCUUGCAUUCCGAGAAGAGCAGGUUCUGCACUGGCUGGCACUCACUGCGGAACUCACCACCUAUGUAGCACCGACACGUACACGCGACACGACAUAUCGACACAUCAUUUCUUAAAAAUAGAUAAUUUUGACACAUUCCGAUACAUUAUAUAUUAAAUAUAUUUUUAAUAAUAGAAUUAAUUUACACGAAAAAUAUUAAAUAAUAUUAUUCAUUAUUUUAAUUUGAUACAAUAAUACACAAAACUUAAAGGAAAAAAAUUAUUUAAAGAAAAAUGCUGAAAUGAUAUUUUUAAAUUUAUUUAUUUAUAGCAUUUUUUUUAUUACUUCUUUCAUAGUAAAAGACUUUAAAAAAAAUAAAACAAUUCUAAAAAAACAAAACUGAAAAAAAAAAUUGACCCCGUGUGUGUAUAUUUAUAACAAUUUUAUUACUUCUUUUGAUCCCUCAAGUAUUAGAAAUUUUUAAAAUUGACCCCGUGUGUGUCGGAAUCGCAUGUCGAAAUUCUGGACUCGCGUGUCGGAGCGUGUCGGAGAGAGUUUAUCACGUGUCGGAUUUUUCGACACUCAUUGACCGCGUGUUGGAGCGUGUCGGAACGUGUCGAAGUGUGUCGGACAUGUGUCAGAGUGUCGGACACGACACAAAAGCUUCCGGAGAGUGUCCGUGCUACAUAGCUCACCACUAGCUGACUUGAGCAGCCUCUUCAUUUCGCCAGCCCUCGUCUCGUACCGCACAGUGUAGGCCUUGAUUCCUGGGUGUUUCUGCUCAAACUUCGAGACGAGGUUCUCAUUCUCGUGCAGGAAGAUGGUGCGACCGUCAAAGUUGAGAACUUUGUACAGGAGGGCCUCGCGGUAAGGCCGAAAACUAAAAGGUUGCAGUGGGAGGCAGCAGCGGCACAACGGGCGACUGCGGCGGUUACGGUGGCAAGCUCAGCGGACAUCAUUAUGUGGGUGGACUUGGCAGUGGCGGCAUAGUGGAGGAGGGUGGCGGAUAUGGAAAGUGGAAGCGGGACUGAAGAGGUGGCACAACCCGUGGGAGUGCUUGUGUAGUGUAGGUGGUGAGUAGGGUUAGAAUGAAGGCGUUGGUGAAGAGCGUGCUGAUGAAGAUGAACCACCAGCUAUUGGUGUUUGAAGAUGAUUGCUUUUGGAUCGUGGGAUGGAGCAGGCCAUAAGGUCCAAAGACCAAAUCUACAUGAAUGAGGAGCAUACGGCCCAAAUCUGAACAAACAAUUCUGAGGUCAUCAAUUAAGACGGUUUGUAUGGUCCGCAGAAAACAUUGAUUGAUUGCGCGACCAGUCUCUGCAAACCCCAGUCUAGUUCACCUGAAAUUAAUCGUCCUAACCCCGGAAUUCGAAUCCCAGGGGAUGGAGUAUUAACUUUGUGCUUUUCUUCUCUUAAAAUCUCUCUCUCUCUCUCUCUCUCUAAGUAAUUUGUUCAUUUCAUUUAACAUAGUCAGAGAAUUGCAGCGGGCACUGUAUAUAUUAGUGUGACUAGAUAAUGGGGAAAUCACUACGAUGGAAGAAUUCUUGCCCAAAGAAAAACAACAAACGGAACAAAACAGAUAAAACUAAAAUAAGCCUACCUUCCAUAUUGACCUCUUAUCGAUGGGUAGUACUUCAUCUCCUGCACAAGUCUAGUUUAUAGCAUUAAAAGAAAAAUAGCUCGAAUGUGAUUGAUGCAGGUAGAAGGACAAAUUAAUGAACAAAAAUUUAGGGGCUUGUUUUGCACAAAAUUAAGAAUCAAUGAAAAAUAUGAACGAAAAUGUAUAGAGCUUUGUUAAUAACGAAAAUAAUCUUCUGUUGACUAAUUAUUUUAAACAAUACAGACAAUCAUUUCUUGGAAAAAAAAUAAUUUUGAAAUCAUCAAUUUCCCAUAAAACAAACGCACCAUUGACAAAUGAAAAUCACGUCACAUAAUUCUCAUGGUGCAAAAAUAUCUAACUAGAUAAUUACUAAAUAUUGAAAUGAAUCACCUAAAAUCCCAACAAAAUUUCUAAAAUACAAUGAUUAUAAAGAAAUAAACUUAAUUAUAAUCCUAGAAAAUAUUUGCCAGAUAGACAUUUCAUUCUUUUGCAAAACAUAUUUUUACUUUGAAUUGAUGAAAGAAUUAUGAGAGAUCUUUCUUCUUCUUCUUUUUAUUUCUUUUAGAAAUUUGCACACGCAAGUGUGUUUGCAUUUGUACCUAUAUUUGUGGAUCUAAUUAUCCGUGUUUUUAUCGUUUCUACCAUGUAAUGCCAUUUCUUUUGUAAGCAUUUUCAAUUAAAGGAAUUAAGGAACCGCAUCAUACCGAUGAAAACAAAAUUGGGCCUUUUGAAGUUAUCCUAAAAAUUUGAUCAUAGUGAUGAAACAGUAAAGAGAUGAAUAAAGGUGGGGCAUCACUGUCAUUUGACUUCACUCACUCGUGCGCACCAUUAACUCCAUUAUUGGGGCCGCAAGAAGGUCUGAUUGAUUCAAUCAUGGAGGGAUUUGCUGUUGGACAUGGACAUCAGGCCAUGUCAUGUCUUUUGGGGUUCGUUGAUGUCGGUGGCAAAUAAUACAAAUCGUCUCCUAACUAAAGACCAAGGUAAUAGUAGCAUCCGAUUUUGCUCGGUAUUCAAGGCUGGCCAAUACCGCUGGUGUAAUCACCACUGGUGUGGUCCUGUUGUGCCUCACCGCCGUCGCUCCUCAUGCUGAACCUCCGGGCCUAGCUCAAACCACCCCCCCAACCCUCCUCUCUCUGACUUCUGAUGGAGACUGAGGCUAGGCACAUAACCUCCAUUGAUGAUGGUGCUCAACUUCAUAUCUAGGUCGCACGACCUGAUGUCAUAACCAGUCUAAAUUGAACAACCAGCCUUCGAUGUCCAUGCAGGUGUCCUCGUCAACAUAUUAGACGUCUAGUUAAUGGUAUUAAUUGCCAUAUCAGCAAUUUUUGUUAGUCUUCAGGAAGUAAUGAUCAUAUCGAGUCAAAUUCAAAAUAUGCAAAUACUAUGGAAUUGCAAAAUAUUUCCAGCACAACAUUGUCAUGACAGGGAAAAGUUUAGGUACCGCCCAUACUAUUACCCAAAACAAUAGAAGAUAAUAUAAAUCAUCAACAUUGUCAAUUGGGUAUAUUAAUGAGAAAAGUUAAUUUACAGAGAAAGGUCCUUUAUGGGAAUCAUAUUUGCAGAUGGAAGUGAAUAAUGUAUGUUUUACCCCUACAUUCAGUCAUCCAAUACAAUUGAGUGAUUGUUUUAAUCUCCCUUAUGAAAAAUAGUGUAAACGUUUUCUUGUAAAUUACAAAAACCAAUCUUGGAUUUUCACCUCAAUUACUAACUUUGCAUUUGCUAAUUCCGAAUUCUACCCACACUUUCGAACAAGAGGUUUCAGAAAAUCUACACUUCGCACAAUCUAAUUUCCAUAGUCUGUUAGACUCAAAGAUCUAAAAUUUAGACCUUUUUCAACAUCAAGGCGCAAAACACAUGUUCGAAAUAAUAGAAGAUGAGAAAUAAAUUAUAAUAAAAAGCCAAGAAUGAUUUUUGUUAUUUUUUCUACAUGAUGAAAAAUGUAGUUGAGCCACAAAGGAAGUACAAACAAAAGGAUUAACAAAAAAAAAAUCAAUCAAUCCUAAACCUAUUUUAUGGAUGCUAGUUCAUAACUAACUUUCCAAUUUUGUCAAUUUAGUAUUAAACAUUUACGUGAAAUUCUAAUAUAGCUCUUUUAAUCACGUCAGCAAUUUCUAACUAAAAUUUUUCGGAAGGACUACAUUAGAAGUCUGCGUAAAGGUUCAGGAUCAAAUUAGUAAAAUUGAAACAUUUAUAACUGAAUUAAUAUUCAUACAAUAUUUAGGAUUGAUUAGGAAAUUUUUUUGAGGAUUAACUAUUCCAUUAUUUUCUUUUCUCUAAUAGUCCGUUUAAAUAGGGGAAUUAAAAAAUAUAUACUCAUAUAUAAAUUAAAAGAAAGUAUACAACUAACGGAAAAGAGAUGUGAUAUCUUAUGCCCAAUUGGUUUUCAUUUUGUUAGUAGCUCGAAAUUUGCGAUGUUGAUCAUCACGUUUGUCCCCCAAAAGUCAUAAAGUCAAGUUUCCCGUUUGCCCCAUCAAUUCAGUAUCUAGGAUAAUUCCAAGUUCUAUUCUCACGACCGCGCUGCUUAAUCAUAAUCUUCUGUCCAGGGAAAAGAACCAAAAAAAUUAUAAACCUUUUGUAUUUGUACCAAUUUAGUCCUAAAUUUUUUUAAUUAGACCAAUUUAGUUCUAAACAUUUUUAUAUUUGUACCAAUUCAGUCCAUCCAGCUAAUUUAAACCGGAAAUUGCUGACGUGGCCACGACAGUCUUAUUUGGUGCCAUGUGGACAAAUUUUACAAUUUUUGAUAUUUUUUUUAGAUAUUUUCAAUUAUUAUUUUUUUUUUCAUUUUUUCCUUUUUUUCUCUCUCUUUUUUUUUUUUCCUGUUUUCCUUUCUCCUUACCCCUCGCCAGUCGACUGUCGUCAGCCCCAAGCUAGUUGGGGAGAGGGCCCUCGCACCCUCGUUGGCCAAAACUGAGGGCGUCAACCCCCGCCCAGAUCUAGGCGAGGGCGUGGCACCCUCGCUCGUGGUGGGUGAGGGUGUCGUGCCCUCACCUAGAUCAUUAGGAUCAUUAGGCCCUCGCCUAGAUCCAGGUGAGGGCCACGACAGCCUCCCUUGAGGCGUCGCGGCUCUCCCACCAUGAGCUUGGGCCUUUGUGCCCUCACCUGUGGCUGACGAGGGCACGGAGGCCCUCGCCCUUGCUAGCUAAUGGGCAAGGGUUUUGGCCCUCGCCUAUGGCCGGCAAAGGGGCAGCGACCCUUGCUAGUGGCCAACGAGGGCACAGGGGCCCUCGCCUCGACUAGCCUGUGGUCAAUGAUGGUCAGCCAGCAAACUCAUUGGUCAAAGGAUAAAGAGAAAGGAAAAAGAAAAAAAUUAAUUAAAAAAUCUGAAAAAAUAUAAAAAAAAUUAUAAAAUUUGUCCAUGCAGCCCCACAUAAGACUGCCGGGGGCCACGUCAGCAAUUUCUGACUUAAAUUAAUCAGAUGGAUUAAACUGGUAUUAAUAUGAUAAUGUUUAUGACUAAAUUGAUCCAAUUGAAAAGCUUAGAUUUAAAUUGGUAUCAAUCAAAUAGGUUUAUGAUUUUUUUAGUACUUUUCCCAUUCUAUUCAAGUCCAAACGUGUCUUUAGUUAUUGCUUUGCCCAAGCUUUUGUAUUAUUGACAUAAUCAGAUCAAUGAUUGUGCCCUCCACGUAGCAAAAUGACGUCAAUGUACGGGAUAUAUAAUCCAUCUCUUAGGCAUCGAGAGAAAUGUUUCAUAGCGAUGUUAAAGUCUAGAUGACAAAUGCCAAAAGCUUCCCACUUUUUUUUGGGAAUUUAUCAUCUUGAUAUGGAAUAACACUACAUGAUACCCCUAAACUUUAUCGGCUUGUGUAAUAUCGUAUUUGAAUUUAUUUUUUUGCAAUCAGAUUCUUGAACUAUGAUUCAUUCGUUCACAUUGGAUCUUCCAUUAAAAGACCCAAAAAAAAAAAAAUGCUUAUGUGACCGUUAAAUGCCAGGUUGACUCAAUGUGGCUCCUACGUCCUCAUUAGAAAGAUUAAAGAAAUAAAAAUAAAAAAAUAGAUUUCUUCAUCGAAGGAAAUUUGGAGCGACAACACCAUCUUGAGCCGGAGCCCACAGGCAAUUUGUCGAUAGUGUUCGAGUUUAAUGAGGUGAGCGAGGAUGGGUCGGAACACUUUUCAAUAGAGGCCCGCCCGAUCGGCUUCGACUUUUUUGGCAAAGGCGGUGGCAUCCAGAGUGAGGUGGUGAUGGCUCGGAACUAGAGGCUCCCCUUCGGCGUCCCCUGGCUUUCUAAAAGGUGUCGCGUCGAUUUCCAACAACGUUGAAGAGAUUGGAGAUGACUGGAAAUUCCUCUGUCUUUUUUUUUCUUCUCAUUUUUUAAGUCAGUCAUAUUUCAGGCCUAACCCAGCCCAAAAUUAAAUUAAUGCCAAUCCAAGAGGACUUGUUUAGGCCCCAACCUUUUAACCGGGCCUGAAGUUGAUCGGGUGGGGCAUAUUUUUCAAUAAAUAAGCCACCCAUUUGCAACUAUGCUUCCCAUUACUAGACACCAUUUGGAACUCGCGAACUCAUUGCUAAUUUAAUCUUUAUCUGCAAAAGACAAACAAGCAUUCCUAUUCUGUAACAUAGAAAUGGCAACAAUUUAUUGCUUAUCCCUGUUCAGGAUCAAUAUUUUUCCCAAAAAUCAACCAACUAUUAUUAAAUUAACCCCAACAGCAGCCAGUCACGCUAUUUUGGCAAUAUUAACCCUAAAGCAAUGAAGAUAGUGCUGAAUAUUAAAGCAAGGGGAAACCAACCCUCACGAAUUUUACAUGAAAAUCUCAAUAUAGGAAAAAUCACGGGAUCACUCAAAGACUUAUACUAAUAACCAAGAAUAGUAGGAUACGCAAUAGUUUAUCCUUAAUAACACGGCCAGAGGCUCUUUAGAUUAGCAAAAUAUCAGCACCACAGAGGUGGAUUAACACAGAAGCAAGAAAGGUAUAACUGCUGCCAAAGAAAAUUAUGAGACAAUUUGGAGAGGAUUAACAAACAAAACCAAUCAAUUUAUAGAUCUUACCCUUCACGAACAACCUAUUGAAAUUUCCGCCAAUUCUAACAAAGUUUCACUAUCGAAUCUAGAUUACAACUUCUCUUCAAAGCAAAGCUUUCUGCCUCCUUUUCUUUGUGAAAACAAAUUGCUUGUCUCUCUCUCUCUUUCUCUCUCUCUUCUAAAUCAACAACAUUUAGCCCUAUCUUUUUAAUUAUUUUUUUUUUUAAGAUGAUGAGAUGGGCAAGUCUCCCCCUUCACCUCAUGAGGGAAGUUUCAUUAUACCCGCUUUAUCUAUACAAGAAUCAAGUUUCACCAUUGGUAAGACUUUAGUCGUCAUAUCAUAUCUAUUAUCAGCAGUGUAGACUUUCUCAAAUAAAAAGAGUUUCUCUUCUAAUUUAUCUUGGAUCCAAUGACAAGGAUAAGGCAUUAGUCUGGGUAAAGCAACCAAAUGCAUUUGAACAUCACUCUACCUUUCAGCAAUAUGACAAGGAUAAAGCAUCCCUGCAUAAUGAUGUCUUGUAUUUGCACGAAUGGAUUUGGUCUUGUUGGAGGCAAGACCACUUAUCUCAGCAGCUACCAAAGAGUUGAUAUAUCUAGAGCACUAUCAUGAAUCACUCUCUGAGGAUAAACACCCUCUAGGAAUGCCACGAGGGUGCCCUGAUGACGCCACGGACGAAGUGCCCUGUCCAUCGUCAAUCGCAUGUUGCCUAAGAAUGGACCUAACUAUUAGCAGUAACAAACCAAAUAGAAAUCUGUUACAGCAAGUAAGCAUUAACCCAGGUAACCAAAGUGGACUCUGCUUUUAGCAACAACUUCUGCAGAUUCCUGAGAACGCACGCUUGAUUUUUUGUUUGUCGCUUGUUCAAGCCUAAACCACCUUCACAUGUCAUAACUAAGGGUCAUGUUAUAACAAGUUUGUACUGGUGUUUAAUAUCCCUUCUCAAACGGCGAAAAUGCAACAUUGAAAUGGAGAGAUCAGUUUCCCUAUAUGUUGUCUAAUUUGCUUGCAAACCAUAAAUGGUGGAAGUUGAGAUCAAUGGUGUAACUUGACAAGCCUAAGUUUCAAACCACUAAAACAUGUGUGUUUACAGUAUUGUCUCUGUUAUCAUUUGAUCUUUUGUUUUGAUAGGGAAUUUUUUGGAAACAUACUAAAACUGACAUCAAAGGCACUUUAACGGCAAUAAUAUUAGGUUAUAUUAGUGUCGUGUUUGUCCAAGACUACUGGUACAUAGCUUCGAGGAAAUUUAACAUGAUAUCGACCGACUAAAUUAAAGAUCAACGCAGCCAAAUGCUAGACUCUUAAGAAAUACUGCCCAGUAGAGAGAUUUGUCAAUUAAGAAAUUUAGCCGAAGCUCUCUCUGUUUUUCUUUUACACAUUGACGGCCAGCAUAAUAAUAAUAUAAUGUUUCAUUUAAUCAUACCAUGUUAGAUAUUAUCUCUUGGCCACCAAAUGCACUUGGUCAAAUUCAGAUUUAGCAUUUGAUAAUAAUUAUGUUCUAUUUGUUUCACGGAAAAUGAAUGAUCCGAAAGACAUUUUUUAGAAAAUGAUCUCUUAUAUUGCUUAGAAAUAAUUAAUCGAUGAACAAUAUUUUCAUUGUCGAUAACGAUUUAUGUUUAAAUAUUUUGAUAAAAAGAAUUUCUUGAUCAUUAUAAUAUCUUUUUGAAAAUAUUUUUCUAGUCAUUCGUUGUGAAACAAACUGCACAAAAUGAAAAAAUAUUCAACCAAAGAAAAUGGACUAUUAGGCCCAGUUUUCAUUGGCCCAAAAAGCCUCUUGGGCUUAAUUAAACCUUCGUUCCUUUUUUUUUUUUUUUGAGCGAAAACCUUCGUUUCUUAGAAAAGCGAAAGAAAGUCACAUCUUUCAGUCGACCUCGAGAGCAUAUUUGGUUCUGAAAAGCGAAAGAAAAUAAUGGAGAUCUCUUGUGGUGAUCGAGAUAGAUAGUAGUGUAAGAAGGUGAGAUGAAGAUUUCAGAAAUGUUGUGCCGUAGUUGUGUUCAAGCCGUAAUUGCUGAUGGGUGUCUGUGGAAUUACUUCUGUUGGACGUGCUUGUUUGUAUAAACGGCGGUGCUUUCUUUGAAAUGGAGAUUAUUUUGUGCUUGAGGCAGAAAUUGGGAGUGCAAGAAAUUUGAGCAUGGACCCAUCUUCUUCAACUGGAAAGAGAGAUGUGCUUCAUUCCCUUUUUUCCAUGUUAAUAUGCAUGCGAUUGUUCAAAACGAAGUUGAACACAAUCUUUUGUUAAAUUUAAAGGAUCGUUACGAUCCUCGAUUACCUCACGAAAUUUCAUAAUUAUAUACUUUUUGCGCUCGAGUUGCUGAGUUCUUAUGGGGCAUGCUUAAGAUUUGAUUCCAUGUUCAUUGAUAUGUGGCGUCUCACUAGCAGAUGGGGGAGCUUGCCGGCGAUGAACAUGUCAAGUACAUACUGUUGUGAAAAUAUUGCUUCGAAAUGGGUUAAAUAAUGAAAUCGGAUCGAGUAAAACAACUCGGACUUUGAGGCAUGAUAUCACUUUCUUUAAGGAUUUAUUUGCCCCACAACGUUGCUAAUGGUCACCGGCAAAAAUCCUCCAGGAUACAACAAAGUCUCGGAUGAGAAUACUAAAUAGCAAUUAUAGUAUUUCUCCAGGGUCUCUCUAAGAAACAAUCGAAAAAUUGGCUGCAGUUUUUUCAGAAAGAAGACUCGAAAAAUGACCACACUUUUCUUUCCGAAAAAUGACAAGUAUAUAUAUGAAACAGUCUUGCAACUUUUCGUGAAAAUUGCGAACAAACACGUCUUUAGAAAAUUGUUUGGAUAAACAAAUGCGACUCUUCGGAAGAAGUCGAAAAACGAACAAUUACAAUCCUUCGGGAAAGUUAAAAACCGAAUAGGUAAUUUUCCAAAGGUUGUCUUGAAAAGACACAAACAAAAUUCGGAAUAAUUUUGUUAAUAAUAAUUUUUUUAAAAAUUUUUUAAAUAGAAUUUCGAAUUUUCAUUUAUAUUUCAUUUCUAGAAUUCUCAAAUUAAAAGGCAACCUUUGAACUAAAGAUAAAAAAUAAAAAAUAAAUAGGGCGCGCAGGCGUGCUAAGUGCGCCAAAUAAUCGCGCACCCGCACGCGGGUAUGAUGGGGUCUACCUCCACCUAAUCACUCCUUUAGGUACAAAAGGAAAUCCCACAUAUUUAAACUAACCCACUUGCUCCCACCUUUUCUAUGUGGGACAAAGUAAAAGGCACUCAUUUUGUUUUAACAAACAAAAUUCCAACACAUACUGUAUGUUGAAAACGUAGGUAUGACAUUUUUACAAUUCUCUUCUUGUUCUCUUGUCCACUUCCUGCCAGUUACUGGAAAUGACUUGGUUUUUCUGGAUCUGCUACCAUCCAGCAUUUCAGAGUUUACUGAUAUGAGUUUUUGGGUUGAUCCUGCACUCAGAAAAAGGAUAGUUUUUGAGUUGCUGGUUAUGGAGCACUUUAGAUUGAAUGAAGCAUGUUGGGGAUAGACCACUGUAGAUCUUCUUGGAAAGGUUGGCAUUGUGGAUUCAAAUGAAGUUGUUUCCUGCAAUGCCAGCAUGAGUCUGGUUUGCAUUUAUUUGUCUCUCGGCUUCUUUUUCGCGAGUACCCAUGAAAAACAUGCAGCUAACAGAACCACCACUCCACAUUCAAUCAAAUAUAUCUUAUUUGACAGUAUGCUUAAGAUAUCAGCUUGGGAAUAACAAGUUCCAUCUAUUACAAUGACGACCACAUCUUAGGAGUGAUUAGUGUUGCUUUAUUUAUUUAUAUUCUAAAACUUGACUCUAAAGAACAAAGUACGAAUGACACUUAGGGCUGCUUGUGCAGGUGGCUUUGGUGCCAAAUAUUGGACAUGAUCCGCAUCUGCUGUAUGCUCUCAGAGCCGUGCAAGUACUGGCCCUUUAUGACAAAUUAGAUGUUCUUGACAUCAAUAAGGCGACAGAUUGUAUCCUUGGGAAUAGAGUCUUAGAUUCACAAGUUCCUUGAUGAACUUACCUUAGGCUCUGUUUUGCAUUUAUAAGGUCAGAUUAUGUUGUGGAAUUUUAUAGCGUGUAUAUUGCUAACCAGACAUUGAUGAGGGGGGCUUUCUCUAUGGAGAUUGAAGUUGCUANNNNNNNNNNNNNNNNNNNNNNNNNNNNNNNNNNNNNNNNNNNNNNNNNNNNNNNNNNNNNNNNNNNNNNNNNNNNNNNNNNNNNNNNNNNNNNNNNNNNNNNNNNNNNNNNNNNNNNNNNNNNNNNNNNNNNNNNNNNNNNNNNNNNNNNNNNNNNNNNNNNNNNNNNNNNNNNNNNNNNNNNNNNNNNNNNNNNNNNNNNNNNNNNNNNNNNNNNNNNNNNNNNNNNNNNNNNNNNNNNNNNNNNNNNNNNNNNNNNNNNNNNNNNNNNNNNNNNNNNNNNNNNNNNGAUGAUCUCCUUGGUCAAAGUGGUUAGACAACGCCACGAGACCGAAGGAUUAGCAUGGAAUAGUGAGACUCAAUGAAACAACAAUACCCCCACCUUUUGUAUGAGGAUUGGUAAAGGUUUAAAUUUCGAGGACGAAAUUUUUUAUAAGAGGGGAAGAUUUGUGACAUCCAAAAUAUUCGGUAUUAAUUUCAAUUGAGUUAAUCAGGGCAUUUCUAUGCAAUUGGAGUCGGGGAUUAAAAUGGAAUACAAAAUUGAGAUGCGAGAUGAGCUUUUGGAUGAGGAGAAUAUUUAAUAGAAGCAUUGAGGCCAAUUGAGAUGGAUUUAAAGUAAAUCAAGUGAUUAAUGGAAGCCAAUUGUUUCAAAACUCGUAUGCCCAUAAAACCAAAAAUUUAAAUUACCUUAAAGCUUCUAGAAGGGCCAUUUUUGGCAAGGAAAAUGGAGUGGAAGACAGCUGGAUUGGUGGGGCCAAAGAGAGAGAGAGAGAGAGAGAGAGAGAGAGUGUGUGAGAGAGAAAGGGGAAAUUGAUUUUCUCUUCCUCCCCUCUCUCCUCCGUCGACGGAUCCUCCCCCAUCUUCUUCAUUUUUUCUUCAAAAACUCCAUGGGAGCCAAAGACCAGCGACGACCGAGCUGCCAUCACCGCCUCUCGCUGCCGUCGUCGCGCGCCCGCAAGCCACCGGAGCUGCCGCCAUCGCUGCUUCGCCCUACCCGCGCGCAUCUCCGCCCCUUCUCCCUCCUCUGGGUCGGACAAAGCAGAAGCAGAACAGAGACCAGCUGCGUUGAGGGUUUUAGGCGCGCCGGAGCCAAGACCGCCGCCGCACCGGAGCUGAACCGCCUGCGCGCCCGCCGCUCGCCGCCGUGCACCGCCGCUCCGCUCCCUCGCACCAGGCGACCUGCCCGAGCGAACCAGCCUCUGUCCAGCUCGGUUCUGCUCCGGCCAGCCACCUCCGGCCAGCGCCCAACUCCGCCCGACCUCCCCGACGUUCCCCUCGCCCUCCGCCGGCCUUGCUUCGCCAUCUCGGCCCCUGAAUCAGCCUCGUUUGGCCAUGAACAGCAGCUGGAAAAAUGGGUUUCCAGCACUGUUCAAGGCCGUUUUGGGCCGUUUCCCGGCCCCGAACCCGAGCCGUGCUUUGGGGACAAUUGUUCCUCGCGCCGCCGCCGUCGGAUUGAUCCGAUUUGCGCGCGAUUUGGUGAGUAAUCUCACUAAUCUUGGAUUAGUUGGCUAAUUAUGCUUAAGGUUGGUUUAGUUUUAAUUAAUUAUGUUUAGGUUGUUAGAUUAGAAGUAAGUAGCAAUUAUUAGUCAAUUAUGAUGCGAUUUAAAUAAAUUGAUUGUGCAAUUAACAAGUAGACGUGGUCUACUAUUUAUUGGGAGUGUCUCGGGAAUUUUCGGACCCCUAAUUGAGCUUCAAUUUAAGGAUUCGGGCCUAAGUGAGAUUUUUGGGCAUUUAAAUAUUAAUUUUCGGAAAUAAAUUAAAUAAUUAUUUAUUUUCCGAAAAUUCAAGGGAGAUGGUCCAGAACCGGAACAUUAUGCGGAUGACUGUGGUGAAGUCCGUUUAUUUAAUCGGGCUUUAUUUUGAGCUAAAUUGAAUUUUUAAUAUUAAUUAUUUAAUUUACGAAAUUAAUUAAUUAAUUAUUUAUUUCCUGAAAAUUCAACUGGGAUGGCCCGUGACCGGAAAAUUAUGCUGAUGACCGUGGUGAAGUCCAUUUAUUUAAUUGGACCUUAUUUUGAGCUAAACGGAUUUUUUAAUAUUAAAAAUUAAUUAAAUCAUUUAUUUUUUGGAAAUUAAGAUUUUGAUGGCCGACGACCGCAAUCUCGUGCUGAUCGUCGUGGUGCAGUCCGUUUAUUUAUUUGAGCUCCACGUUGUAUGGAAUUAAAUAAAUUGUGAUAUUUUAGGGAUUUACCCUAAAUUGAUUGGAAUUGAUUGAGAUUGAAUUAUUGAUUGGUAAAUGGCCAAGUAUGUUUAUUCAGCAUUUAUAAUGCUUUGUUGAGUUGUAAAGUGAGUAUAAUUGUGAGAGUGAUUUGAAUAUACUUUUGGCUGAGACCGAUCGGGUAUGUUAAAUAUCGUGUGAAAAUUUAGUGAGUUGAUGAGUAUGUGGGGAUUUAUUCCAAAAUUGAUCAAUGUCGGUAUUCAAUUAGAAUUUGACUGUGAGAGGUUGUGAAUUGAACCUCGGAAACCGCCGAAGUAUGGCUAUACCAGUUGGGCUGAGAUUUGCCACCGAAUUUGGAGUCGGUCGCGCCUGAUAAGGCCGUAAUUGCCACCUAUUAAAGGUCGCGCUUGUUAAGGCCGUAAUUUGCCACCCGAUAAGGGUCGCGCCUGUUAAGGCCGUAAUUUGCCACCCGAUAAGGGUCGCGCCUGUUAAUGCCGUAAUUUGCCACCCGAUAAGGGUCGCGCCUGUUAAUGCCGUAAUUUGCCACCCGAUAAGGGUUGCGCCUGAUAAGGCCGUAAUUUGCCACUCGAUACGGAUCGCGCCUGAUAAGGCCGUAAUCAGCCACCUAUUAAAGGUCGCGCCCAUUGGGCCGUAAUUUGCUACCUAAAGAUAGGUCGUGUCCUUCGGGACUGUAAUUUGUUGCCAAGAAAUUUGGUAGUCUAUGCUUGUGAAGUCGUGAGUACGAUUUGAACUUGAAUAAGGGAAACGACUGGGGAAUGGUCGAAUUGACAUGUAAUCGACUAGGUUGAUUGAUCAUUGCUUUGAUAUGAUGUCGUGAAUUGAUUGACUGAAUGGAAAUGAUCAUAAGUGGUCUUGUUGGCUGGUAAUCGAUUAGGUCGAUUUGAUCGAUGCUUUGAUCUGUGAUGUGAUUGCUUAGGUGUCUAUUUGACCUGUGCUAACAUGCAGGUAGGACAUGAGGCCAAGGUACGUCUUCUGCCUUAUGCGUGUAUAGGCAGCCUAUAGUAUAAUAGUUUACUAAUUGGACUUAGUGGGGUAGAACUCGCUGAGACGUAGUCUCAUCCCAGUUUGGGGAAAAACAUUUCAGGACCCCGAUGAGGAGCCGAUGAGGAGGAGUCUGAGAAAGAGAACUCGGAGGUGAAACUUGAGGAGAAUGAUUUUUAGAAGAAGAAGAUAAUCCCGAAAGGGGCCUUGAGUAUGGCCUGGAUGGGCUGAGAGUCUAUCUUCUUUUGAAAUCUCCAUUUUGAUGUGAAUAGAGAUAGAGUAAAAAGUUGUGAAGUAUUCUGGUUUGUGUUUUGUAUAAAAGUUUGGUUAUAAUUUUCAAUAUGAAAAAUAUGGCCCUGCUUUUCUAUCCCAUUGUUUUAUUGUCUGGGGAUUUAUAACUGCUUCCGCAUGUGCUUAAUAAACUAAAGGGUCGGCGAUACUUGUCCUGGGAUAUCGCAUUAAAAAAAAAAUCGACCAAGUGAGAAGAAUGUGUGCGUGCCCGAGGAUCGGGGCGUGACACAACACGCCGGCACAUGAUUACAAUCAAUCGAGCAGUCCAGAGAAGCAUAGCAACAAAACAAGACCAGGCUUUCAAAUAGUCAAACAAUUGCAAGAAAGCAGACCCUUAUGCAACUAUUACCAUAUGAAGCUAGAGCUAGAGCUCGAGCUCAUGCUUAACAACACAAAGAUAAAUCACACGAUUACAUUCAACUAAACACCAGCUGCCACACAACUCGUACCUGUUCUUCAACGAUUAACUGGUGAUCCAGAGGUUGACUUCAGACCCAUGACUCCCGCCACCGAUGGGAGUUAAUGAAUGCCCCAAAUCCCCCAGCUGAGCGGUACUGAAGAAGAAAAUGUGCAUAGAGUGAAAAGUGGCACUGGAGAAGGACUGGAAGCUCACGGACUAAGGACUCGAAGCUCGCGGACUAAGGACUUGAAGCUUGCGGACAACGGAACCUGGGAAAGGAGAGACGGCAGCGAACGACGGACUGAAGCUUGGGAGGAGCAAAUGAGUAGCGACGAGGAUUGGGCGCCAAGUCACCGAGGAUCGAGCGACAGCGAUUUGCUUGAGCAGCGGGAGACAAGAUGAAGAAAACGUGAAAAAGAACUCUAAUCCCAAUUCAAUUCGGGAUUUUCUUCAAUUUUUUACUAUUUACAGAUUUUGGACAAAAUUACUCUUGUUUUAGCUGCCGAAAAAUAUGGGCCACCGACUGACGAGCUCGGAUCUUUAUUUGAGACUGAUUUACUCAUUUAGGUCAUUUUUUCGAGAAAAUGGCUUCACUUUAAAGAUGCAUUUAUUUAACAUAAAACUCAAAAUUUGGAAAAACAUUAUUUAAAAGAUGAUUGGUCAUAUCUGUUACAAAAAUUAACAGACAAAUAUAUUUUCUUUAAUAUCAAUAAUUUAUGCCUAGUUAUAUUCUUGGUGAUAAAUAUCUUUUCAUUCAUUCAUUUUUAUAAAAAAUAUAAGCAAUUAUCUUUUGAAAAAUAUUUUUUAAAUCUUGAGUUUUUUUCUCAAACAACCGAACCAAUCCUUUCAUUUCAAAUUUUCCCCUCUUGCUUUCUCCUUGUUCUUGUGCCGACUCUGUCUCUGUCUUCCUUUUCAUCCCUUUGUUUUCCCGGUUCUGCAGAAAGAAAUAAUAAGGUGAGUUGAGGUCUCCUGGGACUAAAUUUCUCUUGAGAAAGGCCCUUUUGUUAUGGAUGGUGAGGGAUGUAAGAUCCCCAACCUCGCCACCGAAGUGGACACACACAACAUAUGGAGAUUCCUAGUAAGAUGGGGAAUUUUAAUAAGAUUUUUCUUGGUUGCACGUUUUAGAAUCAGUUUAUUGUCUCUCUUCACUAGACUAAAGCAGAAAUAGAAAGCAAGCAAAGCAGAAGAAAAAACGUAUCAUCUAUGAAUAGAAAGAAGGCGCACCGUUUUCUGCGGAGAAUCUUCUGUUUCUGUUUCAGAGUCCACUGUUUCUAUUUCGGAGUACAUUGUUUCUGUUUCAGAGUACACUAUUUCAGUUUCAGAGCUCCACGCUUGUUCUGCUCCAUUCAGAAUCUUCUCUCUGUAACAAUCCCAACGGUCAAACUUCCACCCGCCGUAAGGAUCACGACAGUCGGGUAACUCCCCGCUACCUGUUAUGAGUAUCGAGCAAUUAUCUGGUAUUUUGGAGCUCGAUGAAUCAAGAAUCCUUCCCAUUGAUCUGCACCCCCAAAUUUCCAAUUCACCCAAAAACCCUAGUUCUUCAAUGCCCUCAACAACCUGCAGGCUCGGGCACUGGUGAAUUUGUAACCGCUUCAAGUUCUUCGAGUUUGACAAACCGCCUAAGCUUUUUAACGAAAGGCACUCUUUAACAUCAAAUUCUUCCAAUGAUUCGAACGCAGUAACAAAUUGAAUAUCCUGCACCUCAGGGAACCCUGACAGAAGAAAUUUUACAAGCAUCUUUUGGGAGCUUGGGAAAAAGAUCGCUCCCCUCCAAUGAUCAAUCAACUUGGGAUCUUGUAGUCCACUGCACCCCGGCUCCUCCGGCUGACAAACCAAACUCUCGGAAGGUCUGCAGUCCUGAAUACAUGAUCUUUCUGACGAUUCUAAGACAUCGAGAAAUUGAACAUCAAGUUGCCUGGACACCUUGUUUUCUUUCGGUUUUCCCAAACUUGUUGGAAGGAAUGGAGUCUCCUUUUCCGAUGGAGGAAGCCCAUCGAGGUGUACUUGUGUCCCUCGAGUUUCGUAGAGCUCUAAAACUAUCAAAUUUGACGGGAGGUGUUUGAAAGUUGGCAAGUCUAGUCCGUAUAGAGUAAGUUCUUUCAGUAGAGAAAGGGAACCCAACUCUGUAGUUGGUGCGCGGACAUUUGUAAAGCAAAUGUGCAGCUUGCUCACUUUGGUUAAACUCCCAAUCCACCCCAAGUCGCCAGUUUGGAAUUCAUUUGAUGGGUGUCUAUGGCCAGUUUGGAAUUCAUAUGCUGGGUGUCUAUGUUCAUAACGACCAGAUAGGAACAGUUCAGCUAGAUUAGUAAGGUAUGAGAGGUCAGGGACAGUAAGCAACAACUCAGAUGCCAAUUUAAGAGUGGUCAAACUUCUGGGGAGUUUCGGUAACUCUUGUAUCUUAUAAAACCUCAAGUCUAGUGUUUUGAGUUGACAAAGCUUGCUCAUUGUACUGGGCAGCUCUUCAAUUUGUGUGCAUGAUGCAUUGAUAGAUAACAGGUUUCGUAGUCUAUCAAUGGAAUUCGGUAAUCUUGAAAUAUUCGUGCUAGAUACAUCCAGUUUCAUUAACUUCUCUAAUUUUGAAACUGAGUCGGGGAGUUCAAUUAGGUCAUGACAACUUUUAAGAGAGAGAUGUUGCAGAUUCUGUAGCUUUCCAAUUUGUUCAGGCAAUUUUCUCAGUCUGUAACAAGAUUUAAUUAUCAAGUGAGUCAGCCACUUUAGCUUCCCAAUAGAGUGGUCAAUUCGCAUCAAAGACCAAAAUGAAGAAAUAGCCAACUCCUCUAAAACUGAGUCCUCACGAAAAGUUGGUGUCCCAUUUAUCAACUCAUUGUACCUAAUAGUGAGAACCUUCAAUUUCCUUGCCCCCUACAAAAGCCAAUGAAACAUCAGGACCAAAAAGAAAUAACUAUGGAUGUAGGCUACCAACGAGAAAAUUAGAUUAUAAAUCCAUCAUAUUUUGUCCUUCAUUGAAUGAGAAAAUUAGACUCAGAGGGAAACUGGCAUACCUCGAUUAGGCUCUGAAGCACAUCUUUUGUGAUAUCAAGCCCACUAAGAUUCACCACAACUGCGUUUUCUAGAUGAAACAGAUUGGUUGCCUCCAAACGUUUAUUAGAGUGGACAUGGGUAUAAUCAGUAUAAGCGUAACUCAAAUCGAUCCAUCUCAAAUCGGAAAGACAGCCCGUAAAGUCACCUUGGCAGAUUACCUCAUACAACCGAAGAAUCCGCAAAUGCGGGAACCACUUAAUUUGCUCCGAAGUGAUAGUUUUACAAUCCCACGGUGCUGAGAAACUGAGUGCUUCAAAGCUUUCCUUGUUCUGCCAACGACAUUGAGGAGCAGAAGCAGGAAUUUGUCAAUAUCCCACUAUUUUAUUUCGUAAAAGAGAAGAAAAAACGAAACAGAAGAGUAGCUCCCAAAUAAAAAACGUGAGUCCUCAAUUAAGAUGAGGGUAUAAGCAAUUUUCUAUUCAAAUUAGGCCAUUCUUUACCUUUCUUGAUCUUAAUUCGCAAAUGAUGUCGUCUUCAUCCCACAAUCCGAUACGCUUUUCUCUGGCAAUUUUCCUUCCAAGGUCUCUAAAUUGAUCAUGCAUCCAAAGGCUAUUAUUGUCUAACUCCUUUAUCAUGCAUCUGUUAAUGAGGACAUCGAUGGCAUCCACUGGGUACAAAUUACAAGCUUUCCACACGUACAUUGGAUUAGUCUUACUCUUACCAACGAAAAAGCAUGCAAUAUCAAGGAAUAUCUGUUUUUCAUUCUGAUGUAAGGCAUCAUAGCUAAUCUUAAGCUUUGCCAAGACAUCCUCAUGAGGUGUUUUUUGUAGCCUCUCUAGCCACUCUUCCCAUAGCUCUCUCUUUUUCCCAAAAAGUGAUGAACCAAUUGCUUGAAGAGCUAAAGGUAGUCCACAUGUAGUAUCGACAAUGCCCUUUGAAAAAGCGCAAUAAUCAGCUGGAGGAGAGUCUUCAUUGAAGGCAUGCCUACUAAAAAGUUUAAGUGCAUCUUUACCGAUCAACCCCAU
rnacentral:lncRNA from 1 species